rnacentral:lncRNA from 1 species
GGAACCAUACCCAUAGUUGUAAUGAUUUAAUUGCGUGCCUAAAGCAAAAUACGGUGUUCCAAAUUUGUGAUUCAUAGCCAAUUUGGGAUUGUUGUGAAGGCUCUGACUUAUGGAAGAAAAACAUACUAAUCCUACGGAGAAAAGACAAAUCUAGGAUACAUUACUGUAUGAAGUACGAAUUUUUCAAUACAUUUUGAAAGGAAGAAAAAAAAGCCAUAUUAAUUAGUUAGGUGUGUUCGUGUUCCACUUGAUUUCCACAUCAAUUUUAUUUUUUAUUUUUUUAUUUUUUCCAACAAAAAAGUUCAAAGAACUCUGCCACACAUGCCUAAGAUAAAUACAUUUAAUUAACAAUGCUACAAAAUAUAUAUUAUAACAUGAAGCAACAGUUCAAAUGGUAAUCACCAAAUAUGCAAGUAUUUAGACAUCUCCGUCAGUGAAGAAAGCACAUGUUCCUUUUAAUUCAGACACCAAGAAAAAGACGAACAUCUCCAGGUAUCCCGAGAACAGAAAUUGGAAUAACUGACAUGAACAGAUCUUUUCAACAAAUAUAUUGGGACAGUCUCAAGCAAUAAAGUUAAAAUCAAGUAUGCUCCUUAUUCAUAUGUAAACUCAAAGCAAUUAAAUACUAAUAUUUUCACCAAUCAAAUAUCAAAUCAGUGAUCAUAGAGUCAUAUUAAACUAUAAUCCGACAUGUCUAAACCAAGCAGAUUCAUAAAUUUAUAUGCUUGUCCAAAGUGAAGCAACAUAUUUAACAAAAUGAUAGGGAAAAACUGGAGCCAGAUCAAAUCAGUAUUUUAUUCAUUCGAAACUAGAAACAAUCAGAAAAUUAGAAGUGUACCUACCUUGUAUUUUAAAAGAAAUAAAGGAAAAGUGAAACGAAGCUCAACAACAAUUUUCUGUCCACAACAAACAACAAUCGCAGCAAGACAGCUCCAAUUAGAGCUUCGAAAACUUGGAUCCUAAAUAGGAAUAAACGGCUUUACGGGGCAUCAGGAGAAGAGUUCCAAUAAAGGGCAGCCACAAUAGCUCGAGCUACAUCGCUUGCUAUACCAUUGUACUCCAUCUUUCUUUAGCUGUUAAUUAAUGCUUCAAUAAAUUCUUGAAGUUGUACGGUAUCCACCUUUGAAAAAGUUUUUAAAAGGAAGAAAGAAAAAAUUGGAAAGAGGGUUUUAAGCAAAUAUGUCAGUUAUUUAUACUCUGUGAUGGCGGACAGAGUGGGGAUAGAGGAAAGGUGCUUCAUCUUUUUGGGUCUUUGAUCUGUGUAUCGUGUGGAGAAAAAAAUGAAGAAGAAAGAGGGGUUUGGUCUUUUUUGUGGAAACGGCGCUGAGGGAGUGGAUCUGAUUUAUUAGGUCUAGCCUAAGUUUUAAUUAAAAGGAGGAAGAGUUAGGUCAGGCGGGUCAGGUAGGGAGAUUGGGCUGGUGGAAUUUGGGUAUUGUAUUUGGGCUAGUUAGACUUAGGCCCAAUAUAUCAAGACUAAAUCAAAUUCUUUACCUAUUUUCCUUUCUCUUUGUUUUCUUUUUUUUUCUUUUCUUUAAUUUAAAACCCUUAAAUUAAUUAAAAUCCUAAAUCAAUCUAUUUUUGUAGAAAUUAAAAUUCUUUAUUUAUUUUUAAUAUUAAAACGACUAAUUAACUUAAAACUAAAGAAAAAUGCUAAUUUUAAAGGCUAAAAUCUAAAUAUGUAAAAAAUGACCAUUUUUAUAAUUUUUUGCUUAAUAAAAUUAAUUCCUACAUGCAAUUUGAACCUAAGAUGGCAUGAAAUUAAAACGUGAUAAUUUUUAUUAUUUUAAAAUAUUAAAAAAUGCAUGAAAUGCAACUAAAUAAAGAAAACUUCAAAAAUCCCUUAAAAAUUAUUUUUGGUCUAUUUUUAGGAGUUAUUUUCAUGUAAGGCAAAAAUUGGGUGCUCAUAGCUGCCCCUCUUUGCUCGGAAACAUGAAGAAUUUUUGGGCAAAGAUAAAAUGAGCAACUACGAGCAAUUUUUGCCCGUUUGAAACUCCAUUUGGAAGCAUUUUGAAAAAGUUUGACCGAACCUUGCUUCAGAGGUUGCCUACAUAUCCUUGGCUAUAAAGGAAUCAGGUCGGUGUAGUUUUGGGAGUUUUGGUAGUUGGGACUAUCGAAAAACUGUGAUUUCAUUGUUGUUGUUGCUGUUUCUGCUUGCUGAGCUCCUUAUUACACCAAAAUGAAAAAUAAAAAGCUAAACUAGUUAAGUCUAUCAACUACGUGUUACAAGAUUCCUAUCUAUAAAUCUUCUGAAGCUUGAACUUGAGUCUUGGCUGGUUCUUCCUGCAGACUUCGAUCUGAAUCUUGAUGCUUGUUAGCUGCAAACGCUGGUUCAUUCUUCUUCAGCUUUUCGGAUCAAGGCGAGGCAAUGCAAAACUUAUGACUUCAAUCUUAUCUUGGGCAAUCCACAUCUUUUCUCUGCUUCUACACUUAGAGUUCAACUUCUUUUCUUGUUUCUUCUUUUCUUUUAUUUGUGUUGNNNNNNNNNNNNNNNNNNNNNNNNNNNNNNNNNNNNNNNNNNNNNNNNNNNNNNNNNNNNNNNNNNNNNNNNNNNNNNNNNNNNNNNNNNNNNNNNNNNNNNNNNNNNNNNNNNNNNNNNNNNNNNNNNNNNNNNNNNNNNNNNNNNNNNNNNNNNNNNNNNNNNNNNNNNNNNNNNNNNNNNNNNNNNNNNNNNNNNNNNNNNNNNNNNNNNNNNNNNNNNNNNNNNNNNNNNNNNNNNNNNNNNNNNNNNNNNNNNNNNNNNNNNNNNNNNNNNNNNNNNNNNNNNNNNNNNNNNNNNNNNNNNNNNNNNNNNNNNNNNNNNNNNNNNNNNNNNNNNNNNNNNNNNNNNNNNNNNNNNNNNNNNNNNNNNNNNNNNNNNNNNNNNNNNNNNNNNNNNNNNNNNNNNNNNNNNNNNNNNNNNNNNNNNNNNNNNNNNNNNNNNNNNNNNNNNNNNNNNNNNNNNNNNNNNNNNNNNNNNNNNNNNNNNNNNNNNNNNNNNNNNNNNNNNNNNNNNNNNNNNNNNNNNNNNNNNNNNNNNNNNNNNNNNNNNNNNNNNNNNNNNNNNNNNNNNNNNNNNNNNNNNNNNNNNNNNNNNNNNNNNNNNNNNNNNNNNNNNNUAAACUAUUUCUUUAAUAAAAGAAAAAAAUAAGGAUUGUGUAUCCAUGGGAAAAAGAGAUUAGGGAGUGGAGCCCUAUAUUUAUAAUGAAAUCAACUAGGGAGUGGACACCCUAUGUUGGAGAAGAGACUAGGGAAUGGAGACUCUAUAUCUAAACUAAAAUCAACUAGGGAGUAGAAACCCUAUAUUGGAAAAGUGACUAGGGAGUGGAGAAACUAUGUCUAAAAUACUUCAACUAGGGAGUGGAGACCCUAUGUUGGAAAAGUCACUAGGGAGUAGAAACCCUAUGUCUAAAAUAAAUUCAACUAGAGAGCGAAGACCCUAUGUUGGAAAAACAGACUAGGGAGUGGAGACCCUAUGUCUAAAAUAAAUUCAACUAGGGAGUGGAAACCCUAUGUUGGAAAAAUGACUAGGGAGUGGAGGCCCUAUGUCUAAAGUAAAUUCAACUACGAAGUGGAGACCCUAUAUUGGAAAAGCAGACUAGGGAGUGGAGACCCUAUGUCUUAAUUAAAUUCAACUAGGGAGUGGAGACCCUAUGUUGGAAAUGCAGACUAGGGAGUGGAGACCCUAUGUCUAAAAUAAAUUCAACAAGGGAGUGAAGACCCUAUAUUAUAAAAGCAGACUAGGGAGUGAAGACUCUAUUUCUAAAAUAAAUUCAACUAGGGAGUGGAGACUCUAUGUUGGAAAAGUGACAAGGGAGUGGAGACCCUAUGCCUANNNNNNNNNNNNNNNNNNNNNNNNNAAACCCUAUGUUGGAAAAGCAGACUAGGGAGUGAAGACCCUAUGUCUAAUUAAAUUCAACUAGGGAGUGAAGACCCUUUGUUGGAAAAGCAGACUAGGGAAUGGAGACCCUAUGUCUAAAAUAAAAUCAACAAGGGAGUGGAGAACCUAUGUUGGAAAAAAUGUAACUAGAGAUUGGAAACCCUAGGCUACCAUAUUUUUGAAUUUUCUUCUCUCUCUUUUUUUAAGAAAAAAUAAGCAAGAAUGCAGGAAAGAAUUUGGAAGAGACUUCCUUUUUGGAUUGAUUAUUGCUGCAAAACUAUUUCUAGCCCUUCCGCAGUUUCUUUUGGUUGCACCUACUUCUUGCAAUGUUGCUUUGGAUUGCACAUGUUUCAUGUUUUCAAACAAAGAACUAUUGUUAGUUUGAAACGGUGGUUGGUUUUGUGACAUUGGUUGUUUUGAUCUCGGCCCAACUCUUUCGAUGAAAAUCUCUAUUACUCGCUGGCUUUGUGGAGAUCGAUCGCUCUUGUAAACCCAGGGAUCUUGACUUUCCAAAAUUUUACAUGAUGUUUCACCUGUGUGGGGAUUUAGCCUUUUCAUAUUAUUUUGCCUUUAUGGGCACUUGACUUUCGAUUUCUUUCCUUUUCAAUAAUUUUGACUCUAAAGCAUCGGCCAUCAUGGCCAGUCGAGAUCUACUUGAUGCACCUGCUAAGACUGGGUGCUUUUUUGUACAUUAGCUCGUGUCAAACGAAAGCCCUGUAAAUCAAUCUUGCCAUCCCUUCUUUGUCUCAGUUUCGGAAUAGAGUUAGACCGAAAGGGAUUCAAAGAAAAAUAAACAAUGGACAGGAUAAUGAAUCUGAACGAGAGGUAUCCCUUUCGGGGAGAAGAAAAAAUGACUUAUUCGGAGUGCAUGCAGACUUUAAUGAACAUGACAUGUCUUUGGACUAGAUGCCUGAUCUGUGUAAACCGUCUGACUCUCAGAAAUUCAUCACAACUUUGCCUUGGAACCGAGAACCUUGCCAGGACUCUGUCGAUGCCAAUGACUGUGAGGAUCCUCUUUUCGAUGAGGGACGCCCUUUGCGGGUUUUCACGAGCUGACCUCUCUCAUUUCUCUUCUCACUAUCGCCUUAUAGUACUCUUUGCGAGUUUUCACUAAAAAGACUCUCUCAUUUCAAUUUCUCUGCUUACUGUCGCCUCACGAUGCCCAUGUGGGUUUUCACCAAUAAGACUCUCUCAUUUUAUUUCUCUGCUUACCAUCGCCUUACGGUGCCCAUGUGGAGUUUCACCAAUAAGACUCUCACAUUUUAUUUCUAUCAUUUUGUUGUAUCAGAUAAGUAACUCUAUCCUCCCAUUUUAAACCUCUUUGCCGAUUGAUCACAAGGACUUGAACAGGGUUUCAGGGUAAAAAGGAUUUGGGAUUGAGUUACAACUUUGGAACCUUUCGGGCGAAACCAUCGCCAAACCAUUAUAACAUUUGCCCUAGUUUCACUUUUGGGGAAUUUGGAUUUUUAUUUUGGUGUGACUGAACCUCAGAGAGAGGCUGCCUACGUAUCCUUUCGGAAUCAAGUCGAACGUAGUUUAGGAAACUUUAUUUUUGAUUUUCUUUUGUUUUUCUGUUUUGUUUUGUUUUCUCUUUCUUUUUCCUUUCCUUUUUUCUCUCUUUUUUUCGUUUUUUUUUUCAUUUUCUUUGACUUUUCUUCCUUUUUUUGUAUGUUUCUUUUUCUUCUCUUUUUUGUUUUCACUUUUCAUCUUCAUUUUUUUUGUAUUUUUUUUUUCAAAUAACACUUUUCAGGUUUUCCAAAGAGGGUAUUUAAAGAAAAGUAGCCGGCUCAAAGGGUUUUGCAAAUGGGUUGAUAGUGUUUUGGGUUAGCUGAGAAUAAAAGCCUUAUUCAUCCCAACCGGAGAACUAUUUAUAUUAUAUAGAGGAUCCAAUAUAGUACCUUUUGGCUGCAUUUGCAUUGACAGUUAUUUCAGGACAUUUCCUUUGAUGUAUUCCAGGUACAACGCUCUUUUUGGUAGUACCCUUGUUACCAUGUAUGGAUCUUUCCAAUCUGGAGCCAAUUUUCCUUUAGUUGUUCCAACUCUUUGUUUUAUUUCCUUACACUUAUCUUCAUUGCAAUCUAAUUCUUGAUUUAUUAUUUCAAAGCCUGACAGCGAUUUAGGAUCUGGGCAUGAAGUCCGUAAGCAUGUCAUGUUUUUGAAUAUGCAUUUAAUAGAACUAAAAAUAGAAUAAGGAAAAUGACAAGAUUAAGAAAAGAGAUAUUCCUGAACAAUGAAAUAUUAAUUUCAUUUGAUUUUUCAAUUUUUGAUUUUUUUUCAAUUUUUUGAAGUUAGAAGGGUUUAAAUCGGAAAGUAAGACAAUAAAGUAAAACAUCCGUAUCACACCCUGAGAUAAUCCGGACGCAAAAAGGAUAGCAAGACUGGCUACCGAGACUCCCGUCUGAUGGGAAACUUUCAUGCUUGGCGACCAUUUUUUUGGCUUUUCUUCUGUCUCGGCAAUGGCUGCAAUGGCCUUCAGUGCCGGAUUAAAUUCCUCAUCUUCACAAAUUAUUCCGACUAUUGGCCCGCUGUUGUGUGCAAACAACAGAUUGUUCAUCACAUCAAGAGCUUCUUCAUCCUGAAAAAUAAUUCUUUCUACUUCAAUCAAAUCUUCAGCUGCCCUUUUGAGAGUCCAACAGUUCUCUGUACUGUGUCCCACUGCUCCAAAGUGGUAUUCACAUCUAGCAUCAACUCAGUGCGAGAGGGACUCGGGGUUCGGCCAGUUCGGGCCCACUGGCUGCAAUAGAUCUAGCAUGAUUAGCUUUUGGAACAAGCUUGAAUACGAUUUACCAAUAGAGGUGAACUGAUUCUUUCUGAAAGGCUCUCUUGGGCGAGGAUUGUACUGGGGAACAUCUGGUUGGGGAUUAUAUGGAGCUUGGUAAGGAUGGACAUUUAUGGGAGGUGGAGCUCGGUUUUGUGUAUGAUAUUGUGGCCGCGUGUAAGGUUGCACGUUCAUCACCGCAUAAGAGGUGGUGCCACAGCAUAAGCAGCAUCUUGAAGAGGAUAAUAAUGUUGAGGGACCUCAGGAAGAAUAUAUGAUCGACUGGAUGACUUGCAGGUCCCCCUCAAGCUCGAAACCAUCAUGGCUCCUUCUUCUCUCCCGUUUCCAUUUAUCAAAUCCUCUGAACCAUUUUGAACAUCUGGUAAUGUGGCUUUAAAAGCAGCAUGACUCAAGAUUCAACCCGUUUUUAGCCCAUUUUAUACCAUCUCCCCAAUUUUGAUAGCCUCAGCAAACGACUUUCCCAUAGCGGGCAUCAUGUUCUAGAACUAGUCUGCCUCUUGGGCCUGUAGAAAGAUUGUGACCAUUUCAAUUUCAUCCAUUGGAGGCUUUACCCUGGCAACUUGCUCACUCCAUUUGAAUACAUAUUUGUGGAAGCUUUCCGUGAUUUUCUUUUUCAAAUUGGACAAAGAGUUUCUAUCAGGAGUGAUGUCCACAUUAUACUGGAACUAGCGAACAAAAUCUCGGGCCAUAUCGUCCCAUUCAUGCCAAUGGGUAAUUUCUUGAUCUGUAUACCACUCAGAAGCGAUUCCGGUGAGGCUUUCCCUAAAAUAGGCCAUUAGCAGCUCCUCUUUUCCACCAGCACCCCUCAACUGGUUACAAUAUCGUUUUAGAUGAGCGACCGAGUCUCCGUGCCCGUUGUACUUUUCAAAUUUUGGCAUCUUGAAGCCAGCUGACAAGUGGACAUGAGGAAACAUACAGAGGUCAGAGUAUGAGACACUCUUCUGACCACUCAGACUUAGCAUGUUUUUCAGGCUUUGUUCUAGGUUCUUCAUCUUCCGAGACAUUUCCUCUUGCUCGGGAUUUUUAAUUUUCUUGCUCCCCCGAGAGAUCAUAUUGCGGAGGUUGAAUGAAAGAGUACGGGGUCACAUAUGUUAUUUCUGAUUGAAGCUGAUGCUGAAAGGUGAACAUUGGAGGCUCAACAUAUGGUCGCGGUAAAGUUGGUUGUGUUUUGGUGCAGACUGGUGCUGUAGAGAACAAUAUUGGGGGUGCCCAGGAAACCAGCGCCUGGGGGCAAACCACAGAAGGCAUGCCAGGAUCAUUGAACGGCAUUGGAGAGUGCCCGUAUGGGAUGAGCGGGUUAGGCACAGGGGCGUUGGUAACCUCACUUGAACUGGGGAUCAACUGAGGGAAUCCAUGGAUUGUACUUGACGGUUCCUACCAUUAGAGCAGGCGUCCCACAUUUCCAAUAUGCGGAGACAUAACAUCUUAUUCUCUUCAGUAGCUGCUGAUUCUAGCUGCAGAAUAGCCGAUGUCGGGCUAUCCUCAGGACCGAUGAUUGGUAGAUUGCUUGNNNNNNNNNNNNNNNNUUGCACACCCAACAACCUUGUUAGUUGUGAGACGCUUAACAGAUAUGAAAUCGCACGUUUGGAUGCAAUGCACCUAAACAGUUAAACGUUUCUACCAUGUAAACGGUUGCAUGUUUCAUCCCGGCCUUAGUUAACCCCUUAAGUAUGUACCCUUUUUCUUUUAUUUCUGCCUCUCUUAAUUACUCUUGAUUUUUUUUUCAUUUCGUUUUUGUCGCUCUUUUAUUUUUUUGGCACUCUCUUUUCUUGUUUUUUGUUUUGUUUUUGUCACUCUCUUUUCACUCAAUUUUUCUUUCUCCUUUUUUUUCAGUUUAUUCUUCACUCAGUUAAUUUUAUGGCUAUGAUCGAAUCCGAUGAGGAUUUCCUACGUAUCAUGACGCCGCAUGAAUCAAAUCUUGCGUAGUUCGGGAAGAUCGAAAAUGGAGUAAAUAAACUUAUUUUUUUUUGGUUGGAAUUUUUGAAAGAAAUGCUUUAAAAUAAGAAAAGAAAUAUUUUUUUUUAUUUUUGAUUUUGAGUUUUGUUUUGUUUUUUGAAAGAAAGACUUAUAAAAAUUCAUUUGCUUUUGAUUUGAACUUUGGGAAUUUUAAAAGUAAAAAGAAAAUAUUUUUAUUUGAAUUUUUAUUUGUUUUCUCUUUUUUUAAAGAAGAAAGAAAAUAUUAUAUAUAUAUUUUUUGGAUUUUGGACGUUUCCUCUUAAUUUUUGAAAGAGGGACUUUUAAGAAAAUGUUUUGAAUUUCUGAUUUAUUUACAAAAGUACUUCUAAAGAAAAGCAAAAUAUUUUUGGACUUCAAUUUUCAAUUUGUUUUUACAUUUACGAAAGAAAUACUUUUAAAGAAUAAAAAAAAUAUUUUCUCUUUUUUUUUUGGAUUCUUUUUUUGAUUUUUUGGAAAAAUACUUCAAAACAAAGAAAACCCGUAUGAAAUACUCUAGAAAGAAGGAAACUACUCUUUUUUUUAGUUUUAAAAAAUUCCCUUUUUUUGUUUUGAAUUUUCUAAGGAAAAUAUUUUUGGAUUUUUGAAAAUUGGGGUCGGAACCGAUGAGGUUUGCCUAUGUAUCUCACAUCCAGGGAAAUAUGAAACUUGAAAAUUUUGGCUCAUUUUGAAAUGAUUUUUCUUUUUCAUAAUUUUGGCAGAGUUUCAGAAUUUUCUAGAUACCUACCUCUCACCUUUUUUUUGAUUUUUUUUUUCUUUUUUCUUAUAGAUGCCGGCCAACAUGCAAGCCGAAUCAAAUAAUUGUACAAGUAGUAUGUAAGAUGAAUCAGGAUGGUCUUUUUAAUUUGGGUACACUUGUCCUAGACGGACCUAAUCCCUGUGUUGAGUCUCCAAAAUCAAAUGCACAUGAUGCAAACAAGCGUUCCUACUAGGAAUCCGGCAUGAGACUGAGUUAUUCUAGGUUUAAAACCUGGGUAUAUUGUUCUAGACUUGGUUUAUCCGAGCGGACAACUCGAGCCAGGGGGGUUACGUACCGGGAACCAAAAGGUCAUUCGGCUUUGUAACUUGUUCGAGCCUCUUUCGAAUUUUAAGGUAUGACACUAACAGAAAAGGAGUCACGCCAGCGUGCACAUCCCCAAAGAUGAGAAGAGAAGGGUUUCGUAACAGUCUAUAUACAAUUCAAAUAAUAUCAAAGCGGUAAAAAGCGACAUUUAGCACAUUAGGCCCAAACAUGCAAUUAAUAAAUAAAAGACAAUUAUAACAGUUAUUCAAAGCUCGAAUUCUUGAACCCUGAACCAAAAGUUCUGGGUUAUGGUCCCCAGCAGAGUCGCCACAGCUGUCAACACCUCUUUUUUACCACCCAGGGUAUAUAAGGGAGUUUUUUCAAUCAAAGUGAUAUUAUUCGAAAUGAGAUUAUUUAAUUUAUCAGAGUCGCCACAUGGAAUAGUUUAUUUGGUGUUCCAAGUCACCGGUUUAUUUUAAAUCCCAAAUCGAGGAAAUUUUCGACCUUAUUUAAAAGUCUGCGAAACUAGAAAUUCUAGAUAAGGAAUUCUGUUAAUCCGGGAGAAGGUGUUAGGCAUUCGUGGGUUCCGUGGUUCUAGCACGAUUGCUUAAACUAUUAAUAAUUGCCCUAUUAUCUGAUUUACUACACGUUUUAAACCUAUUGUGCAUUUUUAACUUUAUAACCACUUUUAAUUACUUUAUGGAAUUAUUCUGGAACAAGUUACGAUUAUCGUACACUUGCUUAUUUGAUAGAUAUUGCGAAUUAUAUCAUGAGAAUCGUACUCACGAUCCACAACAUGUUUAAUUUAUUAAAGUUAUUAGAAGUUGUGGCCGGGUCACAUAUAUGUACCACCGAAUUUGAAAAUUUGGUAUUAUAACUACGUCACAGGAACCGUACCCGUAGCUGCGAUGAUUUUAUUAUAGACGUGCCUAAAGCAAACUACGAAUAUUCAAAAAUAUUUUUUACACGAAGUUAUAAUAUUAAGGUGAGGGCCAUAGAUUAGGUGAUUCAAUUGUGAAUUGCACGCCUCAAUUUAUUUUAAAAAGAUUUGUAUUUCACUAAAGCAAAUUAAGGAUGCUCCUAUUUAAAUCUAAUUUGAAAUUAGGUAUCACAACUACGCCACGGGAACCAUACCCGUAGUUGUAAUGAUUUAAUUGCAUGCCUAAAGCAAACUACGGUGUUUCAAAUUUGUGAUUCAUUGCCAAUUUAGGAUUGUUGUGAAGGCUCUGACUUAUGGACUUGACUUAUUUGGGAAGAAAAACAUACUAAUCCUACGGAGAAAAGACAAAUCUAGGAUGCAUUACUGUAUGGGGUAUGAAUUUUUCAACACAUUUUGAAGGAAAAAAAGCCAUGUUAAUUAGUUAGGUGUGUUCGUAUUCCACUUGAUUUCCACAUCAAUUUUCUUUUUUCUUUAACAAAAAAUUUCAAAGAACUCUGCCACACAUGCCUAAGAUAAAUAUAUUUAAUUAACAAUGCUACAAAAUAUAUUAUAUAACAUGAUGCAACAAUUCAAAUGGUAAUCACCAAAUAUGCAAGUAUUUAGACGUCUCUGUCAGUGAAGAAAGCACAUGUUCCUUUUAAUUCAGACGCCAAGAAAAAGACGAACAUCUCCAAGUAUCCCGAGAACAUAAAUUGGAAUAAAUGACAUGAACAGAUCCUUUCAACAAAUAUACUGGGACAGCCUCAAAUAAUAAAGUUAAAAUCAAGUAGGCUCCUUAUUCAUAUGUAAACUCAAAGCAAUUAAAUACUAAUAUUUCCACCAAUCAAAUAUCAAAUGAGUGAUCAUAGAGUCAUAUCAAACUAUAAUCCGAUAUGUCUAAACCAAGCAGAUUCAUAAAUUUAUAUGCUUGUCCAAAGUGAAGCAACAAAUUUAACAAAAUGACAUGAAAAAACAGGAGCCAAAUCAAAUCAGUAUUUUAUUCAUUAGAAACUAGCAACAAUCAGAAAAUUAGAAGUGUACCUACCUUGUAUUUUAAAAGAAACAAAGGAAAAGAGAAACGAAGCUCAACAGCAAUUUCUCAUCCACAACAAACAACAAUCGCAGCAAGACAUCUCCAAUUAGAGCUUCAACAACUUGGAUCCUAAAUUGGAAUAAACGGCUUUACGAGCAUCAAGAGAAGAGUUCCAAUCAAGGGCAGCCACAAUAGCUCGAGCUACAUCGCUUGCUAUACCAUUGUCCUCCAUCUUUUUUUAGCUGUUAAUUAAUGCUUCAAUAGAUUCUUGAAGUUGUACAGUAUCCACCUUUGAAAAGGGUUUUAAAAGGAAGAAAGAAUAAAUUGGAAAGAGGGUUUUAAGCACGUAUGCCAGUUAUUUGCACUCUGCGAUGGUGGACAGAGUAGGGAUAGAGGAAAGGUGCUUCAUCUUUUAGGAUCUCUGAUCUGUGUGUCGUGUGGAGAAAAAAAUGAAGAAUAAGAGAGAGGGGUUUGGUCUUUUUUGUGGAAACGACGCUGAGGGGUUGGAUCUGAUUUAUUAGGUCUAGCCUGGGUUUUAAUUAAAAGGGGGAGGAGUUGGGUCAGCCGGGUUGGAUCAGGCGGUCGGGUAGGGAGAUUGGGCUGGUGCAAUUUGGGUAUUGUAUUUGGGCUAGUUAGACUUUGGCCCAAUAUACCAAGACUAAAUAAAAUUCUUUGCCUAUUUUCCUUUCUCUUUGUUUUCUUUUUCUUUUGUGAUUUUUUGCUUAAUAAAUUAAUUCUUACAUGCAAUUUGAACCUAAAAUGACAUGAAAUUAAAACGUGAUAAUUUUUAUGAUUUUUCUAUGAUUUUAAAAUAUUAAAAGAAUGCAUGAAAUGCAACUAAAUAAAGAAAAUUUCUAAAAUCCCUUAAAAAUUAUUUUUAAUAUAUUUUUAGGAGUUAUUUUCAUGUAGAGCAAAAAUUAGGUGACCAUAUGAUUGCAUCAGUAUAUCAAGUGACUGACCUCUAAUCUAUUCAACGUCACUACGUCAGUAUGCUAUUUUUCCAUCAAUCUUCUAUGCUUUAACUACUUAUCGCAUAAUUGCAUCAGCGCAAACAAGAUACAUUAAUCAGUGUUUAGAAGUAUCUUUUUCGUGCUUUGUGGAGGGGCCAGUGUCUGGAAGGAUUUUAUUCCCAAAAGGGCAAGUUAACUUGCGGAGAAGUAUUGCCGAAAGGGUUGCGACAUGAGGCUUCCCUAGCUAAUUCUGAUAAGUUGGGUCUUAAAAUUUCUUCGGGAAUUCAAAACGAACACCAAAUAUCAUGUGUAUAACAAAACAAUUACGCACAUGUAUUAUAUAGUAAACAAAUAGGUGGAAAGAUGAUGGUUCGAACUCUUCUUUAAAGUAGGAAGCAGAGGCUUUGAUAUGUUGUUAGGAUUUUUUAUGUAUUGUAUUAGGCAUUAAUUUCAGGAUGGUAUAAAUCUUUUUGGGACUUAACACUUAUGACAGAUCAUAAGCAUAUGGAACUCCUUUGAAUUUGUCAUAUGUACUGGUUUAGGUCUAUUUUUUUUUAUGUAUUAUUUUGUGGGAGAUUUUGGUGUCAUUUCCCCCCUCUGUACCUUUUUUCUUAAUACACAAGGUACAGGUUCAAGGCCACAUUCCCCGUUACCACAGGAGGUGAAGCCUAGAUCGGUGGUUUAAUGAAAAAAAAGGUGGAAAGAAAAGGUAUCAUCCUAUCAUCGCAUUUGGAAUAUCAUGUGCUUGCAUAGUAUCAAAUGGGAUCAUGUUACUGAAGAAAUUGAGCGUAUUAAAGGCAUGCAGAUCGUGAGUAGAAAUCACCCUUUGGCAAAAUAUGAAGUGUUAAAUUGAAUAUUUUUUAGUUUCUCACCAUGUGCGUUGCGCGUGUAUACUGAGUCAUAUAGUACAUAGUUUUAUAAAAUAAUAUCGAUAUUAUUAAAAUAAAGCUUUGUUUUACAAAUUUAUGUGAAUAAUCAAUGUGGAUUAUCGUACGGUGACUUGUUUGUCAAGGUCGAGAUUACUUGAAAUUUCGUCUGAAUCUACGAAUAUAAAUAAUUAAAUUUGUUUACCCGAAAAUGGUAGAAUUAAAUUUGUAACGUGGUUUAUAGACACAUAAAUUAAAUUGAUCCAAGAAUAUAAAGUAAAAAAUAAAAAUAAAUUAAUUAAUAAUACUUGAAGAAAAUAAAAGCCUGGUUGUGAAUUGAGCUUCUACGGAAGCAAGAACAAUAAUAGAGUGUUGAGCAGAAAGAUGUUGAUUGAACAAAAGAGUAGAAUAAGCCCCUUGCGUAUAAAAUGUUUUGCGACCCUACAAUGAGUACAGACUUCUUUUUAUAGCUAAAUUAAGGGAGACAAUAUUCCCAAAUCAAGCUCCUCUUUAAGGUGAGUAAGGACCCCUCUUGAUAGCUGCAUAACGGUUGAGUGUAAAUGCUAAGAUUCUUUAUAACGACUGCUCUUUUAAUGCUAUCUUCUUCAACCGGUAUCUUGCUUUCAAAUUUUUCUCUCGGGUCUUAAUGUCACAUGGACUCAUACAACACCGGCCACAUACUCGGAUCCGGUGUCAGUUAUUUGCCGACUCAUCUCUUACGUGCCUUUAGUGCCACGUAUUCACUUGACGAAUAUUACUUAUCAUCUGCUAAUUUUUUCUUAUACAGAUAGUCCCCCUACUUUCCAGUGACUUAACGUGAAGUGACCGGAAAGUAGAUAAGAGCCCUUUUCUUGGCGGGAAAGUUCUUGAACGGUUUCUGACAUUUGAAAGGAUAUACGUCUCUUUGCAUUUAAUGAGCUGAAACACGUAUUGUCUUAUGAUUCGACAAGUAUUUUUGCUAAUUACCUAGGUAAUGAUGGCCUUGCAUUAUGCCGCAUAUCUUCUCCCCUUCUUAUCACUUUUAUCUUUCACUUUUACAAGCCUUCAUUAUUCAAGUUCUAUUAAAGUUUUUUCCUACAGCCCCCCACCCUUUCUUAGUAGAUUUUCAAAUUUAUACUUUCCAGCACCAUGUCUUCUCCUAUUUUUUCUUCCGGUUACAUGGGCUCCUAUAUUCAGUGGCAGCCCAUCCAAGAAGACCAAAUCUAAGAAAUCCGAUGUUGGUCCUUCCUCUACUAGCACCAUCAUCCCUUCUCAAUUAUGUUGCAAGACGGAUCUCUAUGUUCAAAAGGAAUCCUCUGGCCCCGAUAACGAUAAAAAUAGAGUCACUGGUAAAUACCCUUCUUAUAUUCGCCAGGCUAGUAUUCCUGUUGUAAAAGAAGAUUGUGGCUGGAACAGUAGCGAGGUUUCAGCCCCAAAUGAUGUGGAAAGGAUUACUUUCAGUAAAUCAAUGUACAUGUACGUUUACAUGUACUCUUUCACUUUAAGGAUUGGCAAUGAAAUUGAUCCCAUCAUCUUGGAGUUUUAUCGGAACUACGUUUGUUUAGCUCAAGUAGGAUCAAUAUGGUGAAUGCUAGAAUGUCUUUGGUUCUUGUGCUCCCGGUCCAGUGAAACCCUUACUCUUGCUUAUAUGAUCAACCUCUACACCCCCAAGAUUUUUCGUGGAGGUAUGAUCAAACACAACAAAUGCGAUCAUUAUGCCAUCGUCACCAGUGUUGAUGAUGACCACGUUCAUGGUUGGAUGGAAAGGUUUGUUGUCUUCGCUCCCUAGGACAUUUUUACCGGCAUCAGAACCUCCUAUUCUUGAAUCUUGGAACUGUACUCAUAAGUUUUUCGUAUAUCCCUCUUUACCGUGUUAAAGGUAAUUUUCCCUUUUACUAACUUUCCCUUCUCUUAUUUCAAUCACUCGUUCGAUUCCUCUAGUGGUUGGGAACUUAAACCAUUGGGUGCAUAAAAUUUUGACAAUUUCCUCACCAGACACCCGUAAGUAGAAGGAAAUCUCAUUCAAGUUUAACUAGAAGGCCAAGAACCAUGGUGAGUAAAACUUUCCUUUUUCCUUCUUUAAUGUUCAACUUUAUGCAGUAUAAAAGUUUUGACUUCUUUCCACAACAUGUAGGUCUUUAAAAGGGAUUUUAUAUAUAUUCCACUAUCGAGGUCUCACAUGACCAGAAGGUGCUUUAGUAACGGAUUCAGGAAGCCCUUGACCGGAAGAGGGCUCGUGAUACCACUUUUGCUUCCAGUGAAGGCGCAUCUUCCCUAACUCCCCAUCCCAAGGGGAAAAAACCAAAAAGAAACAUACCUCAAAGACCGAGGCUUAGAAGAAGCCUCCAAUCAUAGAAGAAACCCAGGUAGGACCGGCCACAACGGUCCUUGACGAAGAAGAAACCGAAGACGGUGAUGAAGCAACUUCUCUUUAGAGAAGAAUAAAAAAAAGAACUCUCUCAAAUCAAACAGAGGACAUAAAAGGACUCUUUACAAAGUUAGAUUUGGGUGAGAAUGCUGAGUCCCACUUCCAGGCUAUAGUUGUUGCCUCUAGUUAGAAGGGUUCCAUUUCUGAUGCUCUUCCACUUUCUACUUCAACACUAGUUGCUGCAUCACCAGCUCCUGCCUCGCCACCGACCCCAAUUGAACAAGAAGUUGAUGUGCGUUUGCCUCGGUCACCCGAUCAAUAGAACAUAGAAAAUGCCUUUCCGGCACGUAUCCGAAACACCAAUGGUAAAUGCAGUGUUACCUUUUCAAUUUCCAAUGAGUGCUACUUGCUUUUCAAGCAGGUAAGAGUUGCAAACUACUUGAAGCCAUUGUCUUAGGAUAAGGACCAGAGAAAUAUGGACGGUCUCACUGUGGGAUAUUUAAUCAACAACAUCAUGCAUUUUGCUGCACGGGUACCACUUCAUUCUUCCCUUCUUCCUUUUUACUUGCUAAUUAACAUCUUUGGCGACUUUACAGGCCAACCUCCUCACCUCCGACGACUUACAAAAUAUGAUCCUGGAAAAAGAGACACUUGCUGUAGAGCAGGAUUAAAUUGCAACUGAACGAAAUCAACUUGUUGAGCGCCUCCCAACUUUAGAGGCAAGGCUUUCUUAGAUGGGUGAAAUUGAGGCUCGGUUGGUGCAAAGUGAGCAAGAAAAAAUGGUUCAUAGCCAAAAGGCCACUCAUUUUCAUGCUGAGCUUGCUGAGUUGAAGGUCAAGUAGUGUGACGACCCGGUCGAUCGUCUUAAGAAUUAACGCCUUGGUCCCCUAUUAACUUUUUUUCCCAUAUUUAUUUCUGCUAUUUUGAUUUGCCAAGAUGUUCGAUUUUGAGUUUCGGAGAGUUUUGGGACACUUAGUCCCUAAAUGAGAGCUGAAGUGUUAGAAAGUUAACUGUAGUCGGAAUAGUAUGAAGACGACCUCAAAAUGGAAUUUCGAUGGUUCUGUUAGCUCCGUUGGGUCAUUUCAGGCUUAGGGGUAUGAUCAGAUGGUUUUUUGGAGGUUCGUAGCUAAUUUAGGCUUGAAAUGCCGAAAGGUCGAAUUUUAAAGUUUCCGGUUCGAUAGUAAGAGUUUUAUCCAAGGGUCGUAAUGGAAUUCCGGAAGUUGGAGUAGCUUUGUAAUGUUGAAUGUGAUGUGUGUGCGAAAUUUUAGGUGAUUCGGACGAGGUUUGAUAGACUUUUUGAUCGAAAGCGUAUUUUAGUGUUUUGGAGUUCUUAGGCUUGAAUCCGUGGUGGAUUCGUCGUUUCGAUGUUGUUUUAGGUGUUUUAAGAAUUGGUGUAAGUUUGGAAAGUGGUAUUAGACUUGCUUGUGCUUUUGGCUGAGGUCCCGGGGGCCUCGGAAUGAUUUCGUAUGGUUGUAGGAAGAAUUGGAAGUUGUUUGAAGCAGCUGAAGCUGCUGAUAUCUGUCAUAACCGCACAUGCAGUUGGGUCCCGCAAGUGCGGAGCCGCAGAAGCGGAAUAGGGGAGGAUCAGCAGGGUUUGCAGAUGAGGGAGACUUACCACAAAAGCGGUACCGCAUCUGCGAAUGGGUAAUCGCAGGUGCGGAAACUGGUCUUUAAGUGAAAGGUCGCAGAUGCGACCAUGUCCUCGUAGAAGCGGGACCACUGAUGUAGUCCCAUGGCCGCAGAAGCGGAUUAACUGGGCAGAAACAUAUAAAUACUUGCCUUCGCAAAAUUUAGCUAUUUUUCACCUCUUUUCAAAUGGGAAGAAGCUUGGGGAGCAUUUUUCAAGAGGGAUUUUAAGAGGAGUUCAUUGGGGUAAGGUCUUUGGUCCAUAAGCUCGUUAUUGGAGUGAUUUUUAUCAUUAUAAGCAUGAAAUAUUAUGGAAAAUCAGUGGUAAUUUGGGGGGGGGGGGUUAGGGCUUGACUAAUUAGAGACCUUUGAGUGAUGAAUUGAGGGACCAUUUGAGGUCCGAUUUUGGUACUUUUGGUAUGACUGAACUCGUGAGAGUGUGAGGAUUCUGGAAAUGUAAAUCUUACCCGAUUCCAAGUCAUGGGCUCGAGGCUUGUUUUGGUCAUUUUAUCUAAUUUCACAUAUUAGCUUAGAAUUUCUUUGUAGAAUCAGUUACUUGAAGUGUUAUUUACAUUAUGCAAUUGAAUUGAAUAGAUUUGGGCCAUUUGGAGUUGAAUACUCAUGGCAAGAGCGUGGUUUCGAAUUGAUUUGAGCUUGUUCGAGGUAAGUGGCUUGCCUAACCUUGUGUGGGGGACCUUCCCCUUAGGAUUUGGUAUAUUUGAUAAUUGAAUUGCCUUGUACGUAAGGUGACGAGUGCGUACUUGAGAUAAUUAUUGAAAAUCCAGUUUUCUUUAAGAAAUUUUAAUUGUGUUCCUUUUUCUUGUCUUAUACUACAUGCAAUUUAAGCCUUUUGUUAGCAUAGAAAAGCAUUUUUAACUGACUUAAUUUCUUACUUGCUUAAACUGUCUUUAUUGUAUCAUGUGAAGCAUGUUAGGUUAGAAUUACUUGUUUACUUUGUACAAAAUUGAGCUUUAAUGAGUAUUCCUUAUGUUGUUGCUGCGUGUUUUACCUUGGGACUGUGGGACGACAUCCCGGGAGAUCCCUUGCACGUAUUUAUAAUUUAAGCUGAGGUGCGGGAUACUGGGAGAUCCCUAGCACGUAUAUUGAGGAUACCAAGAGAUCCCUAGUAUAUAUUGAGGAUACCGAGAGAUCCUUGGGAUACCAAGAGAUCCCUAGCAUAUAUUGAGGAUACCAAAAGAUCCUCGGGAUACCAAGAGAUCCCUAGUAUAUAUUGAGGGUACUAAGAGAUCAUCGGGAUACUGAAAGAUCCCCGGUUAUUUCCUUGUGCCUAUUUUUGCCUCUGUUUCAGUUAUUGAAUUCCUCGUCUUCAUAUAUUAAAUCCUUAUUGUUAGCUUUCAACUGUACUGCUUAUCUUAUACUAUCAUACCUUAUAUUUUUAUUUUAACUCAGUAGGACCCUGACCUUCCUCGUCACUACCCGACCGAGGUUAGGCUUGGCACUUACUGAGUACCACUGUGGUGUACUCAUGCCCCUUUCUGUGCAUGUUUUUCAUGUGCAUAUCUAGGUGCUUUGACUCAGUUCUAUCACACUUGAGGCGAGGCGACUGCUCCAGAGAUUUCGAGGUAUAUCUGCCGCAUCCGUAGACCAAGGAGUCCCUUUCCAUUCUAUCUUGUAGUGAUAACCCUUCUAUUUUCUUCUAUUGAUGUAGACAUUCAGGAGUUAGAGCAUUUUUAUUAUAUUAGUAGCUUGUGAUUCAUGGGUUUUCAGGUUUUGGGAAAGUUGUAUUAGUUUAUGAGAGUUGGUACUGUGUAUGCCGAGUGACACUUUCAAAUGCUAUUUUAUUACACUAUUUCUGUUUAAAAUUAUUUCUUUUCUUCCACAAAUUUGGUUUAUCUUCCAAAUUUUAGGCUUACCUAGUUGUAGAGACUAGGUGCCGUCACGAUGGUUCACGGAGGGCGAACCAAGGUCGUGACAAUUUGGUAUUAGAGCUCUAGGUUCAUAGGUGUCAUGAAUCACAAGCUGGUUUAUUAUAGUCUUGUUGAUUGGUACGGAGACGUCUAUGCUUAUCUACGAGAGACUAUGUAACUGUUAGGAAAAUUCCACUUCAUCUUGAUUUCCUUGUCGUGCGAGAUUUUGAUAUCGCAAUUCUAAACUUCUGUCUUGUAUUUUCUCAUAGAUGGUGAGGAUACGCGCUACCCGAGAUGAUUAGGCACCUGCGCCCCCUACUGCAGCCGUUAGAGGCCGAGGCCGGGGUAGAGGCCGAGGACGUGCACGUGGUGUAGCCAGAGCACUUGCGCGAGCUGCCACCGAGGUACCACCAGUUGUUCCAGCCGGAGUUCAAACAUCUGAUACGCCUACUGCUACUACUACUUCAGCACCUCAUGAGACUCUAGCACAGUUCAUGAGCAUGUACACCACUUUGGCUUAGGCAAGGUUGCGUCCCCUACUGCAGAAACAUCUCAAGCCAGGAGCACAGACUCCCGCCGCCCGCACUCCUGAGCAGUGAGUGCAUGUUGAGCAGGUCCCUGAGAUUAUUCCUAUAUGGCCUGUAGUCCGAGAUCAGCCCAAGGACAGGGUAAUAGUUUAUGAGGAUGAGCAGCUGAGGCUUGAGAGGUUCAAGAAGUACAAGCCUCCAGUAUUCAGUGGUCUAGCAUCAGAUGAUGCUCUGGCAUUUUUAGAUGAGUUUUACCGUAUUCUCCGUACCAUGGGUAUAUCAGGAUCGAGCGGGGUUUCCUUCACUACUUUCCAACUUCGAGGUGCCGCCUAUGAGUAGUGGCAUACCUAUGAGCUAGAUAGUCCUAAUGAGGCUGCUUCACUGACUUGGACUCAGUUUUCAGAUCUAUUCCUGAGAGAGUAUUUCCUUAGAGCCUCAAGGACGCAUGGCGCACAGAGUUUGAGCACUUGCGCCAGGGUUCUAUGAUUGUCUUAGAGUAUGCCAUCUGUUACACUAGUUUGGUUAGACAUGCCCCAGCCUUGGUUUCUACUAUUCGCGGGAGGGUUCGCCGGUUUAUUGAGGGCUUUAUUUCCAUCAUUAGAUCUAGCAUGUCUAGUGAGUUGGAGAUAGAUAUUUCUUAUCAGCAGGUGGUGAGCAUUGUUAGGAGGAUUGAGGGCAUGCAUGCUAGGGAGAGAGAGGAGAGGGAGGCCCAGAGGUCUCGAGAGUCGGGCCAUUAUUCUAGUGCCCGUGCCCCAGCUAUAGGCCGUCAUGGUAGGGGUUAUAUGAGUCGCCCUGUUCAUUCAGCUCUUCCAAUAGCUAGUGGUAUUCUAGCUCCUCCUAGACCUCAUGAGCCUUAUUAUGCACCUCUGGUAUCUAGCGCGCCUCCUGCACGAGGUACUUUCAAAGGUCAGUCCAGCAGACCUAGCCCGAGCCAGUCACAUCCACCACGUCCUCCCAAAGCUUUUUUUGAGUAUGGUGACACACGCCAUGUGGUAAGGGAUUUCCCUAGACUUGGGAGGACUGCGCCUCCAUAGACUUCUCAGCCACAGCACGCCCCGUAGAGUUCUCAGGCUAUGGUUACAGCUCCAGUUGCUACCCCACCUGCUUAGCCAGCUAAAGGUGGAGGUCGGGGAGGUAAAGGUCACCCUAGAGGGGGAGGCCAGGCCCGAUACUAUGCCCUUCCUUCCCGUACCUAGGCUGUUGCCUCCGAUUCUGUCAUCACAAGUAUUAUACUAGUUUUUCACAGAGAUGCAUCGGUUCUAUUCGAUCCAAGCUCUAUUUAGUCUAAUGUGUCUUCUUAUUUUGCUCUAUAUUUGGGUGUACCUCGGGAUUCUUUGAGUUCCCCUAUUUAUGUUUCUACUUUUGUGGGAGAUUAUCUUGUUGUGGACCGCAUUUAUCGGUCGUGUUUGGUUGCUCUUAGUGGUUUUGAGACCAGAGUUGAUUUAUUGUUCCUCAGCAUGGUAGAUUUUGAUAUUAUCUUGGGCAUGGACUGGUUAUCGCCCCAUUUUUCUAUUCUUGAUUGUCACGCCAAAACCGUGAUACUGGCCAUGCCAGGUGUACCGCAAGUUGAGUGGAGGGUUACUUUAGAUCACACUCCCAGUAGAGUUAUUUCUUUCCUUAAAGCUCAGCGUAUGGUUGAGAAGGGGUGUGACGCGUAUUUAGCUUAUGUUAGAGAUGUCAGUAUUGAUACUCAUUCAGUUGAUUCAGUCCAGUAGUACGGGAUUUUCUUGAUAUGUUUCCAGCUGAUCUUCCGGGCAUGCCGCCUGAUAGAGAUAUUGAUUUUGGCAUUGAUCUAUUAUUGGGCACUCAGCCCAUUUCUAUUCCUCUAUAUCGUAUGACUCCUCCUGAGUUGAAGGAUCAGUUACAUGAAUUGCUUGAUAAGAGUUUUAUUCGGCCCUAGUGUAUCACCUUGGGGCGCUCCUAUCUUUUUUGUGAAGACAAAAGAUGGUUCUAUACGUAUGUGUAUUGAUCAUCGCUAGUUGAACAAGGUUAUAGUGAAGAACCGUUAUCCUUUGCCUUAUAUUGAUGAUAUGUUUGACCAGCUUCAGGGCGUACGUGUGUUUUCUAAGAUUGACUUGCACUAAGGUUACCAUCAGUUGAAGAUUCAGGAGCCAAAUAUCCCGAAGAUUGCUUUCAAGACUCGGUAUGGUCAUUACUAGUUCUUUGUUAUGUCAUUAGGGCUGACUAAUGCCCCAACAACCUUUAUGCAUUUGAUGCACAUUGUGUUCCGGUCGUAUCUUGACUUGUUCGUUAUUGCCUUUAUUGAUGAUAUUCUAGAGUACUCCCGAAAUCAGGAAGAUCAUGAGCAGCACAUAAGGACUGUGCUUCAGACUCCGAGAGAGAAAAAGUUAUAUGCUAUGUUCUCGAAAUGUCAGUUUUGGUUGGAUUCCGUGGCAUUCUUAGGCCACAAGGUGUCGAGUGAGGGUAUUUAGGUGGAUCCGAAGAAAGUAGAGGUUGUGCAGAUUUGGCCCAGACCAUCCUCAAUUACAGAGAUCCGUAGUUUCCUUGGCUUGGCGGGUUACGAGCGCCGUUUUGUUGAGGGGUUUUCAUCGAUUGCAACCCCUAUAACUAGACUAACCCAGAAGGGUGCUCCAUUCCAAUGGACGAAAGAGUGUGAGGCGAGCUUUCAGAAGCUCAAGACAACUAUGACUAUAGCCCCAAUUUUGAUACUACCUAUAGGUUCGGGGUCAUAUACGGUCUAUUGUGAUGCCUCGAGGAUUGACCUCGGAGUGGUGUUGAUGCAGGAUGGUAGGGUGAUUGCCUACGCGUCCAGACAGUUAAAGGUACAUGAGAAAAAUUACCCUAUCCAUGACCUUGAGUUAGCUGCCAUUGUUCACGCCCAGAAGAUCUAGCAUAAUUAAUUGUACGGUGUUCCCUGUGAGAUUUAUAUUGAUCAUCGGAGCUUGCAACACCUGUUCAAGCAAAAGGAUCUAAAUUUGCACCAGAGGAGGUGGUUAGAGUUGCUAAAGGACUAUGAUAUCACUAUGUUGCAUCACCUAGGCAAAGACAAUGUGGUGGCCGAUGCCUUGAGUCGCCGGGCAGAGAGUUUGGGGAGUUUGGCUUCUUUACCAGCAUCGGAGUGACCUAUGACGAUGGAUGUUCAGGCCUUAGCCAGCCAGUUUGUGAGAUUGGUUCUUUCGGAGCUCAGUUGGGUUCUAGCUAGCGUGGUUUCUCGAUCCUCCUUAUUUGAUCGUGUCAGGGAGCGUCAGUAUGAUGACCCUCAUUUGCAUGUCCUCAAGGACAAGGUUCAGCAUGGUGAUGCCAGAGAUGUGACUAUUGGUGAUGACGGAGUAUUGAGGAUGCAGGGUCGGAUUUGUGUACCCAAUGUUGGUGGGAUUCAGGAUAUGAUUCUGGAGGAGGCCCAUAGUUUGCGGUAUUCCAUUCAUCCGGGUGCCGCGAAGAUGUAUCAUGAUUUGAGGCAGCACUACUGGUGGAGGCAGAUAACGAAAGAUAUAGUUGAAUUUGUAUCUUGGUGCCUCAACUGUCAGUAGGUGAAGUACGAGCACCAGAUACCGAGUGGGUUGCUUCAAUAGAUAGAGAUUCCGGAGUGGAAGUGGGAGCGGAUCACCAUGGACUUUGUUGUUGGGCUCCCGCGGACUUUGAGAAAGUUCGAUGCUACUUGGGUGAUUAUGGAUCGACUGACUAAGUUCGCUCACUUCAUUCCUAUGGGUACUACUUAUUCUUCGGAGCGGUUGGCGGAGAUUUAUAUCCGGGAGGUUGUUCGUCUGCAUGGUAUUCCAGUUUCCAUCAUUUCAGAUAGAGAUACUUAGUUUACAUGAUGAUUCUGGAGGGCCGUUCAGCAUGAGUUGGGUACUCCGGUGGAGUUGAGUACAUCAUUUCACCCUCAAACAGUCGGACAGUCCGACCUCACUAUUCAGAUUCUUGAGGAUAUGCUUCGUGCGUGCGUGAUUGAGUUUGGCGGGUUUUGGGAUCAGUUCUUGCCAUUGACGGAAUUUUCCUACAACAACAACUAUUAGUCCAACAUUCAGAUGGCACUGUAUGAGGCUUUAUAUGGUAGGCGGUGUAGAUCCCCGGUGGGUUGGUUUGAGCUGGGUGAGGCCAGAUUAUUGGGCACAGAAUUGGUUCAGGAUGCUUUGGAGAAGGUUAAGGUGACUCGGGAUAUACUCCGUACAGCCCCGUCCAGACAGAAGAGUUACACAGACCGGAAGGUUUAUGAUGUUUCCUAUAUGGUUGGAGAGCGGGUUCUGCUUCGGGUUUCGCCUAUGAAGGGCGUUAUGAGAUUUGGGAAGAAGGGGAAAUUGAGUCCGAGGUUUAUUGGUCCUUUUGAGAUAUUGAGGCAUGUUGGGGAGGUUGCUUAUGAGCUUGCCUUACCUCCCAUCUUGGCAGGGGUUUAUCUGGUAUUUCAUGUUUCGAUGCUCCGAAGGUACCACGGUGAUCCGUCACACGUGUUGUAUUUCAGCUCAGUCCAGUUGGACAAGGAUCUAUCUCAUGUUGAGGAGCCAGUGGAAAUAUUUGACAAGCAGGUUAGAAAGUUGAGGUCAAAGAACAUUGCAUCAGUAAAGGUUCAGUGGCGGGGUCAGCCGAUCGAGGAGGCGACUUGGGAGACCGAGCAGGAUAUGCGCAGUCGUACCCUUAUCUUUUCACUACUUCAGGUAUGUCUCUAUGCUCGUUCGAGGACAAACGANNNNNNNNNNNNNNNNNNNNNNNNNNNNNNNNNNNNNNNNNNNNNNNNNNNNNNNNNNNNNNNNNNNNNNNNNNNNNNNNNNNNNNNNNNNNNNNNNNNNNNNNNNNNNNNNNNNNNNNNNNNNNNNNNNNNNNNNNNNNNNNNNNNNNNNNNNNNNNNNNNNNNNNNNNNNNNNNNNNNNNNNNNNNNNNNNNNNNNNNNNNNNNNNNNNNNNNNNNNNNNNNNNNNNNNNNNNNNNNNNNNNNNNNNNNNNNNNNNNNNNNNNNNNNNNNNNNNNNNNNNNNNNNNNNNNNNNNNNNNNNNNNNNNNNNNNNNNNNNNNNNNNNNNNNNNNNNNNNNNNNNNNNNNNNNNNNNNNNNNNNNNNNNNNNNNNNNNNNNNNNNNNNNNNNNNNNNNNNNNNNNNNNNNNNNNNNNNNNNNNNNNNNNNNNNNNNNNNNNNNNNNNNNNNNNNNNNNNNNNNNNNNNNNNNNNNNNNNNNNNNNNNNNNNNNNNNNNNNNNNNNNNNNNNNNNNNNNNNNNNNNNNNNNNNNNNNNNNNNNNNNNNNNNNNNNNNNNNNNNNNNNNNNNNNNNNNNNNNNNNNNNNNNNNNNNNNNNNNNNNNNNNNNNNNNNNNNNNNNNNNNNNNNNNNNNNNNNNNNNNNNNNNNNNNNNNNNNNNNNNNNNNNNNNNNNNNNNNNNNNNNNNNNNNNNNNNNNNNNNNNNNNNNNNNNNNNNNNNNNNNNNNNNNNNNNNNNNNNNNNNNNNNNNNNNNNNNNNNNNCCAGGAUGUUCGGUUUUGAGUUUCGGAGAGUUUUGGGACACAUAGUCCCUAAGUGAGAGCUUAAGUGUUGGAAAGUUGACCGUAGUCGGAACAGUGUGAAGACAACCUCGAAAUGGAAUUUCGAUGGUUCUGUUAGAUCCGUUGGGUGAUUUCGGACUUAGGGGCAUGAUCGGAUGGUGUUUUGGAGGUCCGUAGCUAAUUUAGGCUUGAAAUGCCGAAAGGUUGAAUUUUAAAGAUUCCGGUUCGAUAGUAAGAUUUUGAUCCGAGGGUCGGAAUGGAAUUCCGGAAGUUGGAGUAGCUUUGUAGUAUUGAAUGUGAUGUGUGUGCGAAAUUUCAGGUCAUUCGGACGAGGUUUGAUAGAAUUUUUGAUCGAAAGCAUAUUUUUUGAGUUUUGGACUUGUUAGGCUUGAAUUCGUGGUUGAUUCGUCGUUUCGAUGUUGUUUUAGGUGUUUUAAGGAUUGGUAUAAGUUUGGACAGUGGUAUUAGACUUGUUUGUACUUUUGGUUGAGGUCCCGGGGGCCUUGGGAUGAUUUCAGAUGGUUGUUGGAAAAAUUGGAAGUGGUUUAAAGCAGCUGAAGCUGCUGAUAUCUGUCAUAACCGCACCUGCGGUUGGUGCCGCAGAUGAGGAACCGCAAAAGUGGCAAAGCAGUCGCAGAAGCGGAAUCGGGGAAGAUCAGCAGGUCCGUAGAUGCGGGAGACUUACAUCAGAAGUGGUGCCACAUCUGCGAAUGGGUAAUCGCAGGUGCAGAAACUGGUCUUUAUGUGAAAGGUCGCAGAUGUGACCAUGUCCUCACAGAAGCGGGACCGCACCGGAGAAGCGGAUUAACUGGGCAAAAACAUAUAAAUACUUGCCUUCGCGAAAUUUAGCUAUUUUUUUUACCUCUUUUCAAACGGGAAACUCGUUAUUGGAGUGAUAUUUAUCAUUAUAAGCAUGAAAAAUUAAGGAAAAUCCGUGGUAAUUUGUGGGGGAGGGGGGGUUAGGGCUUGACUAAUUAGAGACCUUUGAGUGAUGAUUUGAGGGAACAUUUGAGGUCCUAUUUUUGUACUUUUGGUGUGACUGAAUUCGUGAGAGUGUGAGAAUUCUGGAAAUGUAAAUCUUACCUGAUUCCGAGGCGUGGGCCCGAGGGGCAUUUUGGUCAUUUUACCUAAUUUCACGUAUUUACUUAGAAUUUCUUUGUAGAAUAAGUUAGUUGAAGUGUUAUUUACAUUAUGCAAUUGAAUUUAAUAGAUUUGGGCCAUAUGGAGUCGAGUACUCGUGGCAAAAGCAUGGUUUCGGAUUGAUUUGAGCUGGUUCGAGGUAAGUGGCUUGCGUAACCUUGUGUGGGGGACCUUCCCUUUAGGAUUUGGUAUAUUUGAUAAUUGAAUUGCCUUGUACGUGAGGUGUUGAGUGUGUACUUAAGCUAGUUAUUGAAAAUCCGAUUUUCUUUAAGAAAUAUUUAUUGUGUUCCUUUUUCCUGUCUUAUACUACUUGCAAUUUAAGCCUAUUGUUAGCCUAAAAAAGCAUGUUUAACUGACUUACUUGCUUACUUACUUAAACUGUCUUAAUUGUAUUAUACGAAGCAUGUUAGGUCAGAAUUACCUGUUUACUUGGUACUAAAUUGAGCUUUAAUGACUAUUCCUUAUGUUGUUGCUGCGUGUUUUACUUUGGUACUGCGGGACGACAUCCCGGGAGAUCCCCCGCACGCAAUUAUGAUUUGAGCUGAGGUGCGGGAUACCGAGAGAUCCCUAGCACGUAUAUUGAGGAUACCAGGAGAUCACUAGCGUAUAUUGAGGAUACCAAGAGAUCCCUGGUAUAUAUUGAGGGUACUAAGAGAUCCCCGGGAUACUGAGAGAUUCCUAGUUAUUUCCUUGUGCCUGUUUUUGCCUCUGUUUCAGUUAUUGAAUUCCUCGUCUUCUUGUAUUAAAUUCUUAUUGAUAGCUUUUAACUGUACUGCUUAUCUUCUACUGUUAGGCUUGGCACUUACUGAGUACUGCUGUGGUGUACUCAUGCCCCUUUUUGCGUAUGUUUUUUAUGUGCAUAUCCAGGUACUUUGACUCAGUCCUAUCACCUUUGAGGCAAGCCGAUUGCUUCAGAGAUUUUGAGGUAUAUCUUCCGCGUCCACAGACCGUGGAGUCCCUUUCCAUUCUAUCUUGUAGUGAUAGCCCUUCUAUUUUCUUCUGUUGAUGUAGACAUUCCAGAGUUAGAGCAUUUUUAUUAUUUUCAUAGCUUGUGAUUCAUGGGUUUCCGGAUUUUGGGAAAAUUGUAUUAGUUUAUGAGAGUUGGUAUUGUGUAUGCCGAGUGACACUUUCAAAUGCUGUUUUAUUACACUAUUUCUGUUUUAAAUUUUUUUUCCUGCAAAUUUAGUUUAUCUUCCGUAUUUUAGGCUUACCUAGUCGUAGAGACUAGGUGCCGCCAUGAUGGUUCACGGAGGGUGAACCGGAGUCGUGACAAAUAUGCUGAGCUGCAGGAUGUUAUGACUUUGGCAGCUGAACGUGAGUAUGCUUUUAUGGAAAAUGUCAACAACCUAAAAGAAAACCUACGUUCCAAAACCUAGGAAGCUUCCGCAGUCAAGGAGAAGAGGUCAAGAAUGGGGGAAAGGUUAAAAUGGGUCACGGAGCAAGUUUAAGUAACAUUCAAAUUAAGUAGGACCAAGUCAUGUUAUUUGGACAAUAAAUAAGAUAAAACUAAAAGAACUUUAAUUUAUUCUUUCCAUUUUCAAAAGCAUAUUUAUAUUUCACUUUUAUAGGGUACAAACAUGAAAACAUUCUCCUUACAUGCGGUAUUUAUGACCUGCUAGUGGGUACAUAAUUUUGCUAACUCAACUUCGUUUGUUGAGUGAUCAAGCAAAAUAAUAAAUUUGGAUAAUUCAAUAUAGUCUCUUUACUUUCUAUUAUGAUUAUCAUUCUUGUUUGAAAUAGACAAAAAUUUUAAACAAUCUUAAACGUCUUGGGAUGGAAGUAUCUAUUUUUAUUUUAGUUAACAUAUUAAAAUAAUUCUAAAUAGUAAAAGAAGAAGUAUUACCAAGUGUGUGACCUAGUAAUUCAAGUUAUUAGAAAACUUGAAAAUAAAUUUACAUUGAGUGCAAUAUUAAAUUUGCAAAGAAAAGAAUAAUAAUUCUCAUUAAAACUUCGUUCCAAAGAAACACCAAACUAGAAGUUUAUUCCAAACAAAUAUCAAACUUUGUAAACAAAUAAUUAAAUUAAGCAAAGUCCUUUACAAUAAAAAAACCUUGCCUAUGCAAUUGUUUAGUAAUUGUGGCGACUCGAUAGGCCGUUUUGAGUACUAGUUCUUUUUUCUUUAUUUUGAGACACUUGUAGCUUUAUUUGAUGAUUUAUGACAUGCGUGCGUAGCCUGUGUCGAUUUCUGUAAAGUUUUUGUGUAAAAAUUCAAAGAAAAUAUAAUUUUUGACUUAAAAUGAGGGUGGAGUUGUUCAUGAUCAACGUUUUUGAUAAACAAUCUCAGAUCAGUAUUUUGACAAUUCUGGUUCGUUCAUAUAAUGUUUUUGGAAUUUUACACAUGUUUGGCUGGGUCUCGAGUGACCCGAGGACAUUUCGGCGCAUUAUGUGAAAGAUUGAAUUUUUUUUUAAACUUAAAAUUCUUGAAUUUUGAUGAUCGAUUCAUAAUUUUUGAUGUUAUUUUAAUGAUUUGAGGUGACAAGAAAUUUCAUAUGAUGUUAUUAUACUUGUGUGAAUGUUCGGAUUGGAGCCCGGGGGCUUGAAUGAGUUUCAGAUUGAUUUUGAAUCAUUUUUAGCCUUGUAGAGUUAGAUGGUUUUUAGUGUAUCUCAGUGACUCACGAUCACGAAGGGAAAAUUUGGGACAAGGGUAGGUUACUCUAUGCGAACCCAAGGGGAAGCUCGCGAACGUGAAGUUUAGGGGGGCUGGCCUUCGUAAAUGCGAAAACCCUCACGCAGGCGCGUAGGCAUGGGAUCUUGGGUGAAGGUAGAUGGGGUCUUCAUCCCAAACACGACCUUGUUAACGUGAAUGCGGAGGCUUGGCUUGGGGUGAUGCCUUCGCGAAUGCAGUGAAGACCCCGCGAACGCGAAGACUUGUUGGUCUGUGUACAUUGCCAACGCGGUAGGUGCUUCGCGAACGCGAAGAGCACCCGACAGCCAAUUAUAUUAGAAAUUGAAAAUCAGGAUUUGACCAUUUAUUACAAUUUUUUAGACCUAGAUCACGGAUUGGAGAGAUAUUUGAAGAUAUUUUCAUCCGAACUUUAUUGGUUAGUGCUUUUUAUAUAGUUUUGAUUUAUUUCCAUAAACACCAUCAAUUUUUAUCCUUAAAUUUAGUAGUUUAAAGGUAGACAUUAGGGAUUUUGGGUAGAAUGUAGGAAUUUUAUAAAAUUGAGAUUUAGAUCUUAAAUUGAGGUCAGAUUUUGAAACAAAUCACAUAUCAGAGCUGAGGUUGAAUGGGUAAUCAAAAUUUGGUAUGAAUCUUAGAUUUCGACCACGUGGGCCUGAGUUGACGUUUUGUUGACCUUUUCAAUUUAUUUAAAGAUUGAGCCUUUUUCAUUUGUGGUUAGUUUCUAAAGCUUGUUUUGAUUUGUUGGAACGAUAUUUGGCUAUAUUCGGCUGGUUUUGAGAUUUGUUCUAUAGGAAAAAUCGUGGUUGAUUGUUGACUUAUUUUCAAAAAGAGGUAAGUAUUGUGAUUAACCUUGAUUUGAGGGAAUUAGAACUUGAUUGGUCUAUUUGCUAUGUCAUUUAUGUGUGGGGACAUCACAUAUGGUAGGUAACAUGUGUAUAUGCAUUAUCAUGGGUUCAAGCAUGCGGGGUGGGAUAUUACAACCUACCAUCUAUAUCUUAUUACAUGCUUUAGUUGAUAGAGGUGUUUACUUGAUAUUUAAGCCUUUACUUGUUACCUGCCAUUAAUUAUAAUUGUUAAAACCUUUCUUUAAUAUUAUCUUCUUUUACCUGCUAUAUGCUCUCACUUGUGGUAAAUGAGCGUCUUUACUGUUUCAUGCCUUGCCAUUAUUGUCUUUACUUGCCUUUAUGGCCUAUACUUAGUACUUAUGAUGUGAGGAUACCUUAUGAAUUUGAGUUGUUGGUUGUUCUCUGUUUGUACACGUAUUUCCUUGGUGAUUUAUACGCUUUGGUUCCCUUUAUUGUUGUGAUUUUGGAAUUCAUUGUAUUGAGUUGAUAAUAUUAGUGAAAUAAUAUUGGAAACAGGUUGCGCACCACAACAGAGAGAGAACUUUCAUAGUCAGUUUGAGCGCCUUCAGUAGGGUAGCAUGACGAUUACACAGUAUGAGAUUAGAUUGGUAGAUUUAUCAUGCGAUGCAACUAUCCUGAUUUCUACUGAGAGGGAUAUGGUACAGAGGUUUAUAGAUGGCCUUACUUAUGGUAUUAUUCUCUCACCUGGCCAGAGAGACUAAUGAUGAUAUUUCUUUUACUCAUGCUAUGGAGAUUCAUAGGCGAACUGAGAGGAUUCACGGUGAUCGGUUCCAAACCUGCACUACUAUUGAGUAGCAGGAUGGUCGAUGCAGUUUUACCUAAUAAAUGUCGGGAUCGAAUCCACAGGGAGUUAAUUAGUUUGUAGUUAGGUUUAUAUACGAGUAGAGAUGCGGGGUUUUCUCUUAAUUGCACUUCCACAAAUAGUUGGUUGUUUUCUACUUCUGCUUCUAUUCUAUAGCAUGCAGUAUUUGAAACUAAGUACACUAUUUUUGUUGGUUAUUUUCAAAGAUUUAAAGGGACUAGGGUAGUGACUUCCGCCUAGGUGGAUAUCUAACGGGUAGCAAGAAUCUAGGACAAUCAUGUGAUUAAUUGUGGUCGUAACAUAGCUAUCACAUUCGGGUACUCACUCUAUACCUCUCGGUAGUUUGAGUGAUUUUUCCCAAUUUGGUUUUCUCAAGUCCAAAUAGAUAUUCAUGCAAUUCAAGUAAUUUUAGCUCAAGUCAGGUAUUACUAUCUCUAGGCUUAACCUUUUAAUUGUGACUAUCAAUUUCUUGAGUUCACCCCAAUUCCAUGUUAGCCUAGUUUUCUUAGACUUAGUCGCUUUUUCUCAAGUAGAGACUAAGUCAUAAAGGCAUAAAUCAGUGUUUGCAACUACUAAUUCAAUAGUUCUAGCAAGAAUUGGGCUAAAAAUCACUAACCCAUACACAUUCAAGCACUAAAAUUCAAGACCCAUCAAAUAGUCACAAUAGGGUUGGGUCACAACCUCUAGUAUGGGUUUAGCUACGCAAGAAAAUAGCAGAAAUCAAAGAUAAAGAGAAGAGAAAAUUGAUAAUGCUAAAUUAAAAGAUGAAAAUCUAAAGUUAUAAGGUAAAUCUUGUAAAAUAUUGCCCAAAUAGGAAAAACUAGUUGUUUCCCGUAAUCAGCAAAAUAUAACAUGACCUAAAAGAAUAUGCGGAAUAGGGGAGGAUCAGCAGGGUCUGCAGAUGCGGGAGACUUACCGCAGAAGCGGUACCGCAUCUGCGAAUGGUUAUUCGCAGGUGUGGAAACUGGUCUUUAAGUGAAAGGUCGCAGAUGCGACCAUGUCCUCCCAGAAGAGGGACCACAGAUGCAGUCCCAUGGCCGCAGAAGCGGAUUAACUGAGUAGAAACAUAUAAAUACUUGCCAUCGCGAAAUUUAGCUAUUUUUCACCUCUUUUCAAAUGGGAAGAAGCUUGGGGAGCAUUUUUCAAGAGGGAUUUUUAAGAGGAGUUCAUUGGGGUAAGGUCCUUGGUCCAUAAACUCGUUAUUGGAGUGAUUUUUAUCAUUAUAAGCAUUAAAAAUUAAGGAAAAUCAGUGGUAAUUUGGGGGGGGGGGGUAGGGCUUGACUAAUUAGAGACCUUUGAGUGAUGAUUUGAGGGACCAUUUGAGGACCGAUUUUGGUACUUUUGGUAUGACUGAACUCGUGAGAGUGUGAGGAUUCUGGAAAUGUAAAUUUUACCCGAUUCCAAGGCAUGGGCUCGAGGCUUGUUUUGGUCAUUUUACCUAAUUUCGCGUAUUAGCUUAGAAUUUCUUUGUAGAAUCAGUUACUUAAAAUGUUAUUUACAUUAUGCAAUUGAAUUAAAUAGAUUUGGGCCAUUUGGAGUAGAGUACUCGUGGCAAGAGCGUGGUUUCGAAUUGAUUUGAGCUUGUUCGAGGUAAGUGGCUUGCCUAACCUUGUGUGGGGGACCUUCCCCUUACGAUUUGGUAUAUUUGAUAAUUAAAUUGCCUUGUACAUAAGGUGACGAGUGCGUACUUGAGCUAAUUAUUGGAAAUCCGGUUUUCUUUAAGAAAUUUUAAUUGUGUUCCUUUUUCUUGUGUUAUAAUACUUGCAAUUUAAGCCUGUUGUUAGCCUAGAAAAACAUGUUUAACUAACUUAAUUGCUUACUUGCUUAAACUGUCUUAAUUGUAUCAUGUGAAGCAUGUUAGGUUAGAAUAACCUGUUUACUUGGUACGAAAUUGAGCUUUAAUUAAUAUUCCUUAUGUUGUUCCUGUGUGUUUUACUUUGGGACUACAGGACGACAUGCCGGGAGAUUCCCUGCACGUAUUUAUGAUUUGAGCUGAGGUGCGGGAUACCGGGAGAUCCCUAGCACGUAUAUUGAGGAUACCAAGAUAUCCCUAGCAUAUAUUGAGUAUACCGAGAGAUCCUCGGGAUAUCAAGAGAUUCCUAGCAUAUAUUGAGGAUACCGAAAGAUCCUUGGGAUACCAAGAGAUCCCUGGUAUAUAUUGAGGGUACUAAGAGAUCAUCGGGAUACUAAAAGAUCCCCGGUUAUUUCCUUAUGCCUAUUUUUGCCUCUAUUUCAGUUAUUGAAUUCCUCAUCAUCCUGUAUUAAAUCCUUAUUGUUAGCUUUCAACUGUACUACUUAUCUUAUACUAUCAUACCUUAUAUUUUUAUUUUAACUCAGUAGGACCCUGACCUUCCUCGCCACUACCCGACCGAGGUUAGGCUUGACACUUACUGAGUACCACUAUGGUGUACUCAUGCCCCUUUCUGCGCAUGUUUUUCAUGUGCAUAUCCAGAUGCUUUGACUCAGUUCUAUCACCCUUGAGGCGAGGCGACUGCUCCAGAGAAUUCGAGGUAUAUUUGCCGCAUCCGUAGACCAAGAAGUCCCUUUCCGUUCUAUCUUGUAGUGAUAGCACUUCUAUUUUCUUCUGUUGAUAUAGACAUUCAGGAGUUAGAGCAUUUUUAUUAUAUUAGUAGCUUGUGAUUCAUUGGUUUUCGGGUUUUGGGAAAAUUGUAUUAGUUUAUGAGAGUUGGUACUGUGUAUGCCAAGUGACACUUUCAAAUGCUAUUUUAUUACACUAUUUCUAUUUUAAAUUAUUUCUUUUCUUCCACAAAUUUGGUUUAUCUUCUGCAUUUUAGGCUUACCUAGUCUUAAAGACUAGGUGCAGUCACUAUUCUUCAUGGAGGGCAAACCGGGGUCGUGACAAUUUGGUAUCAGAGCUCCAGGUUCAUAGGUGUCAUGAAUCACAAGCCGGUUUAUUAGAGUCUUGUUGAUCGGCACAGAUACGUUUGUGCUUAUCUACAAGAGGCUAUGUAAUUGUUAGGAAUAUUCCACUUCAAUUGAUUUCCUUGUCGUGCGGGAUUUUGAUAUCGCAAUUCUAAACUUCUGUCUUGUAUUUUCUCAUAGAUGGUGAGGACACGCGCUAUCCGAGAUGAUUAGGCACCCGCGCCCCCUACCGCAGCCGUCAGAGGCCGGGGCCGGGGUAGAGGCCCAGGACGUGCACAUGGUGUAGCCAGAGCACUUGUGCGAGCUGCCGCCGAGGUACCACCAGUUGUUCCAGCUGGAGUUCAAGCACCUGAUACACCUACUGCUACUACUACUCCAACACCUCACGAGAUUCUAGCACAAUUCAUGAGCAUGUACACCACUUUGGCUCAGGCAGGGUUGCUUCCCCUUGCUGCAGCUACAUCUCAAGCCAGGGGAGGAGCAUAGACUCCCGCCGCCCGCACUCUUGAGCAGCGAGUGCAUGUUGAGCAGGUCCCUGAGAUUAUUCCUGUACGACCUUCAGUCCAAGAUCAACCCAAGGACAGGGCAAUAGUUUCCAAGGAUGAGCAGCUGAGUCUUGAGAGGUUCAAGAAGUACAAGCCUCCAGUAUUUAGUGGUCUAGCAUCAGAUGAUGCUCUGGCAUUUCUAGAUGAGUGUUACCGUAUUCUCCGUACCAUGGGUAUAUCAGGAUCGAGUGGGGUUUUCUUCACUACUUUCCAACUUUGAGAAGCCACCUAUGAGUGGUGGCGCACCUAUGAGUUAGAUAGUCCGGAUGAGGCUGCUUCACUGACUUGGACUCAGUUUUCAGAUCUGUUCCUGAGAGAGUAUUUCCUCAGAGCCUCAAGGACGCAUGGCGCACAGAGUUUGAGCACUUGCGCCAGGGUGCUAUGAUUGUCUUAGAGUAUGCCGUCCGUUACACUAGUUUGGCUAGACAUGCCCCAACCUUGGUUUCUACUGUUCGCGGGAGGGUUCGCUGGUUUAUUGAGAGCCUUAUUUCCAGCAUUAGAUCUAGCAUGGAUUGUGAGUUGGAGAUGUAUAUUUCUUAUCAACAGGUGGUGAGAAUUGUUAGGAGGAUUGAGGGCAUGCAUGCUAGGGAGAGAAAGGAGAGGGAGGCCAAGAGGUCUCGAGAUUCGGGCCAUUAUUCUGGUGUCCGUGCCCUAGCUGAAGGCCAUCAUGGUAGGGGUUAUAUGAGUUGCCCUGUUCAUUUAGCUCUUUCAUUAGCUAGUGGUAUUCUAGCUCCUCCUAGACCUCAGGAGCGUUAUUAUGCACCUCCGGUAUCUAGCACGCCUCCUAUGCGGGGUACUUUAAGAGGUCAGUCCAGUAGAAAUGGCCCGAGCCAGUCACAACCACCACAUCCUCCCAGAGCUUGUUUUGAGUAUGGUGAAACACGCCAUAUGGUGAGGGAUUGCCCUAGACUUGGGAGGAGUGCACCUCCACAGACGUCUCAGCCACAGCGCGCCCCGCAGAGUUCUUAGGGUAUGGUUACAGCUCCAGUAGCUACCCCACCUUCUCAGCCAGACAGAGGUAGAGGUCGGGGAGGUAGAGGUCUCCCUAGAGAGGGAGGCCUAGUCUGAUAAUAUGUCCUUCCUGCCCGUACCGAGGUUGUUGCCUCCGAUUCUAUCAUCACAAGUAUUGUACUGGUUUGUCAUAAAGAUGCAUCGGUUCAAUUCGAUCCAGGCUCCACUUACUCUUAUGUGUCUUUUUAUUUUGCUCUGCAUUUGGGUGCACCUCGGGAUUCUUUGAGUUCCCCUGUUUAUGUUUCUACUCCUAUGGGAGAUUAUCUUGUUGUGGACCGCAUUUAUCGGUCGUGUUUGGUUGCUCUUAGUGGUUUUGAGACCAGAGCUGAUUUAUUGUUGCUUAGCAUGGUAGAUUUUGAUAUUAUCUUGGGCAUGGACUGGUUAUCGCCCCAUUUUGCUAUUCUUGAUUGUCACGCCAAAACCGUGAUGCUGGCCAUGCCAGGGGUACCGCAUGUUGAGUGGAGGGGUACUUUAGAUCAAACUCCCAGUAGAGUUAUUUCUUUCCUUAAAGCUCAUCGUAUGGUUAAGAAGGGGUGUGACGCAUAUUUAGCUUAUGUUAGAGAUGUCAGUAUUGAUACCCCUUCAGUUGAUUCAGUCCAGUAGUACGGGAUUUUCUCGAUAUGUUUCCCGCUGAUCAUCCGGGCAUGCCGCCUGAUAGAGAUAUUGAAUUUGGCAUUGAUCUGUUGCUGGGCACUCAGCCAAUUUCUAUUCCUCUGUAUCGUAUGGCUCCUCUUGAGUUGAAGGAUCAGUUACAUGAAUUGCUUGAUAAGGGUUUUAUUCGGUCUAGUGUAUCACCUUGGGGUGCUCCUAUCUUUUUUGUGAAGACAAAGGAUGGUUCUAUACGUAUGUGUAUUGAUCAUUGCUAGUUAAACAAGGUUACAGUGAAGAACCGUUAUCCUUUGCCUCGUAUUGAUGAUCUGUUUGACCAGCUUCAGGGCGUACAGGUGUUUUAUAAGAUUGACUUGCCCUAAGGAUAUCAUCAGUUGAAGAUUCGGGAGCCAAAUAUCUGGAAGAUUGCUUUCAGGACUCGGUAUGGUUAUUACGAGUUCCUUGUUAUGUCAUUUGGGCUGACUAAUGCACCAACAACUUUUAUGCAUUGAUGCACAUUGUGUUCCGGCCGUAUCUUGACUUGUUCGUCAUUGCCUUUAUUGAUGAUAUUCUGGAGUAUUCCCAAAAUCAGGAAGAUCAUGAGCAGCACCUGAGGACUAUGCUUCAGAUUCAGAGAGAGAAGAAGUUAUAUGCUAUGUUCUCGAAAUGUCAAUUUUGGUUGGAUUUCGUGGCAUUCUUAGGCCACAUGGUAUUGCGUAAGGGUAUUCAGGUGGAUCCGAAGAAAGUAGAGGUUGUGCAGAGUUGGCCCAGACCAUCCUCAGCUAUAGAGAUCCGUAGUUUCCUUGUCUUGGCGGGUUACGACCGCCGUUUUGUUGAGGGGUUUUCAUCGAUUGUAGCCCCUAUGACUAGACUGAUCUAGAAAGGUGCUCCGCUCCAAUGGACGGAAUAGUGUGAGGUGAGCUUUCAGAAGCUCAAGACAACUUUGACUAUAGCCCCAAUUGUGAUACUACCUACAGAUUCAGGGUUAUAUACGGUCUAUUGUGAUGCCUCGAGGAUUGUCCUCGGAGUGGUGUUGAUGCAAGAUUGUAGGGUGAUUGCCUACGCGUCUAGACAAUUGAAGGUACAUGAGAAAAAUUACCCUGUCCAUGACCUUGAGUUAGCUGCCAUUGUUCACGCCCCGAAGAUCUGGCGUAAUUAAUUGUACGGGGUUCCCUAUGAGAUUUAUAUUGAUCAUCAGAGCUUACAACACCUGUUCAAGCAAAAGGAUUUAAAUUUGCACUAGAGGAGGUGGUUAAUGUUGCUAAAGGACUAUGAUAUCACUAUUUUGUAUCACCCAGGCAAGGCCAAUGUGGUGGCUAAUGCCUUGAGUCGCUGUGCAGAGAGUUUGGGGAGUUUGGCUUCUUUACCAGCAUUGGAGAUACCUAUGACGAUGGAUGUUCAGGCCUUAGCCAGCUAGUUUGUGAGAUUGGAUAUUUUGGAGCUCAGUCGAGUUCUAGCUAGCGUAGUUUCUUGGUCUUCCUUAUUUGAUCGUAUCAGGGAGCGUCAGUAUGAUGACCCUCAUUUGCUUGUCCUCAAGGACAAGGUUCAGCAUGGUGAUGCCAUAGAUGUGACUAUUGGUGAUGAUGUAGUAUUAAGGAUGCAGGGUCGAAUUUGUGUACCCAAUGUUGGUGGGCUUCGGGAUAUGAUUCUGGAGGAGGCCCGUAGUUUGCGGUAUUCCAUUCAUCCGGGUGCCGCAGAGAUGUAUCAAGAUUUGAGGCAGCACUACUGGUGGAGGUAGAUAAAGAAAGAUAUAGUUGAAUUUGUAGCUUGGUGCCUCCACUGUCAGCAGGUGAAGUACGAGCACUAAAUACCGAGUGGGUGCUUCAGUAGAUAGAGAUUCCGGAGUGGAAGUGGGAGUGGAUCACCAUGGACUUUGUUGUUGGGCUCCCAGAAUGUUCGAUGCUACUUGGGUGAUUGUGGAUCAGCUGACUAAGUCCGCUCACUUCAUUCCUACGGGUACUACUUAUUCUUCGAAGCAUUUGGCGGAGAUUUAUAUCCAGGAGGUUGUUCGUCUGCAUGGUAUUCCAGUUUCCAUCAUUUCAGAUAGAGAUACUGAGUUCACAUCACGAUUCUGGAGGGUCGUUCGAGCGCACUAUUCAGAUUCUUGAGGAUAUGCUCUAUGCGUGCGUGAUUGAGUUUGGCGGGUUUUGGGAUCAGUUCUUGCCAUUGGCGGAGUUUGCCUCCAACAACAGCUAUUAGUCCAGCAUUCAGAUGGAACUGUAUGAGGCUUUAUAUGGUAGGCAGUGUAGAUCCCAAGUGGGUUGGUUUGAGCUGGGUGAGGCCAGAUUAUUGGGCACAGAAUUGGUUCAGGAUGCUUUGGAGAAGGUUAAGGUGAUUUGGGAUAUACUCCGUACAGCCCAGUCUAGACAGAAGGGUUACGUAGACCAUAAGGUUUAUGACGUUUCCUAUAUGGUUGGAGAGCGGGUUCUGCUUCGGGUUUCGCCUAUGAAAGGAGUUAUGAGAUUUGGGAAGAAGGGGAAAUUGAGUCCGAGGUUUAUUGGCCCUUUUGAGAUAUUGAGGCAUGUUGGGGAGGUUGUUUAUGAGCUUGCCUUACCUCCCAGCUUGGCUAGGGUUUAUCCAGUAUUUCAUGUUUCGAUGCUCCAGAGGUACAACGGUGAUCCGUCACACGUGUUGGAUUUCAGCUCAGUCCAGUUGGACAAGAAUCAAUCUCAUGUUGAGGAGCCAGUGGCAAUAUUGGACAAGCAGGUUAGAAAGGUGAGGUCAAAGAACAUUGCAUCAGUAAAGGUUCAGUGGCGGGGUCAGCCGAUCGAGGAGGCGACCUGGGAGACCGAGCAGGAUAUGCGCAGUCGUACCCUUAUCUUUUCACUACUUCAGGUAUGUCUCUAUGCUCGUUCGAGGACGAAUGAAUGUUUAAGUGUAGGAGGAUGUGAAGACCCGGCCGGUCGUCUUAAGAAUUAAUGCCCCGAUCCCCCGUUAACUAUUUUCCCCGUGUUUCUUUUUUGCUAUUUUGAUUUGCCGGGAUGUUUGGUUUGAGUUUCGGAGAGUUUUGGGACACAUAGUCCCUAAGUGAGAGCUUAAGUGUUGGAAAAUUGACCGUAGUCGGAACAAUAUGAAGAUGACCUCAAAAUGGUUUUUUGAUGUUUCUGUUAGCUCCGUUGGGUGAUUUCGGACUUAGGGGCAUGAUCAGAUGGUGUUUUGGAGGUCCGUAGCUAAUUUAGGCUUGAAAUGCCGAAAGAAUGAAUUUUAAAAAUUCCGGUUCGAUAGUAAGAUUUUAAUCUGAGGGUCGGAAUGGAAUUCCGGAAGUUGGAGUAGCUUUGUAGUGUUGAAUGUGACGUGUGUGCGAAAUUUCAGGUCAUUCGGACGAGGUUUGAUAGAAUUUUUAAUCGAAAGCGUAUUUUUUGAGUUUUGGAGUUGUUAGGCUUGAAUUCGUGGUUGAUUCGUCAUUUCGAUGUUGUUUUAGGUGUUUUAAGGAUUGGUAUAAGUUUGGACAGUGGUAUUAGACUUGUUUGUACUUUUGGUUGAGGUCCCGGGGGCCUUGGGAUGAUUUCAGAUGGUUGUUGGAAAAAUUGGAAGUGGUUUGAAGUAGCUGAAGCUGUUGAUAUCUGUCAUAACCGCACCUGCGGUUGGUCCCGCAGAUGAGGAACCGCAAAAGCGGCAAAGCAACCGCAGAAGCGGAAUUGGGGAGGAUCAGCAGGGUCCGUAGAUGCUGGAGACUUACCACAGGAGCGGUACCGCAUCUGCGAAUGGGUAAUUGUAGGUGCAGAAACUGGUCUUUAUGUGAAAGGUAGCAAAUGCGAACAUGUCCUCACAGAAGCGGGACCGCACCGCAGAAGCGGAUUAACUGGGCAAAAACAUAUAAAUACUUGCUUUCGUGAAAUUUAGCUAUUUUCACCUCUUUUCAAACGUGAAGAAGCUUGGGGAGCAAUUUUUCAAGAGGUAUUUUUCGGAGGAGUUCAUUGGGGUAAGGUCAUUGGUCCCUAAACUCAUUAUUGGAGUGAUUUUUAUCAUUAUAAGCAUUAAAAAUUAAGGAAAAUCAGUGGUAAUUUGGGGGUUAGGACUUGACUAAUUAGAGACCUUUGAGUGAUGAUUUGAGGGACCAUUUGAGGUCCUAUUUUGGUACUUUUGGUAUGACUGAACUCGUGAGAGUGUGUUGAUUCUGGAAAUGUAAAUCUUACCCGAUUCCGAGGCGUGGGCCCAAGGGGUGUUUUGGUCAUUUUACCUAAUUUCGCGUAUUUACUUAGAAUUUCUUUGUAGAAUCAGUUAGUUGAAGUGUUAUUUACAUUAUGCAAUUGAAUUGAAUAGAUUUGGGCCAUUUGGUGUCGAGUACUCGUGGCAAGAGCAUGGUUUCGGAUUGAUUUGAGCUGGUUCGAGGUAAGUGGCUUGCCUAACCUUGUGUGGGGGACCUUCCCUUUAGGAUUUGGUAUAUUUGAUAAUUGAAUUGCAUUGUACGUGAGGUGACGAGUGUGUACUUAAGCUAAUUAUUGAAAAUCCGAUUUUCUUUAAGAAAUUUUUAUUGUGUUCCUUUCUCCUGUCUUAUACUACUUGCAAUUUAAGCCUAUUGUUAGCCUAGAAAAGCAUGUUUAACUGACUUAAUUUCUUACUUGCUUAAACUGUCCUAAUUGUAUUAUAUGAAGCAUGUUAGGUUAGAAUUACCUGUUUACUUGGUACUAAAUUGAGCUUUAAUGAAUAUUCCUUAUGUUGUUGUUGCGUGUUUUACUUUGGUACUACGGGACGACAUCCCGGGAGAUCCCCUGCAUGCAAUUAUGAUUUGAGCUGUGGUGCGAGAUACCGAGAGAUCCCUAGCACGUAUAUUGAGGAUACCGAGAGAUCCCUAGCGUAUAUUGAGGAUACCGAGAGAUCCUCGAGAUACCAAAAGAUCCCUGGUAUAUAUUGAGGGUACUAAGAGAUCCUCGGGAUACUGAGAGAUUCCCAGUUAUUUCCUUGUGCCUGUUUUGCCUCUGUUUCAGUUAUUGAAUUCCUCGUCUUCUUGUAUUAAAUUCUUAUUGUUAGCUUUCAACUGUACUGCUUAUCUUAUACUGUCAUAUCUUAUAUUUUUCUCAGUAGAGCCCUGACCUUUCUUGUCACUAUCCGACCGAGGUUAGGCUUGGAACUUACUGAGUAUCGCUAUGGUGUACUCAUGCCCCUUUCUGCGUAUGUUUUUUACGUGCCUAUCCAGGUACUUUGACUCAGUCCUAUCACCUUUGAGGCGAGGCGACUGCUCUAGAGACUUCGAGGUAUAUCUGCCGCGUCCACAGACCGUGGAGUCCCUUUCCAUUCUAUCUUGUAGUGAUAGCCCUUCUAUUUACUUCUGUUGAUGUAGACAUCCCGGAGCUAGAGAAUUUUUAUUAUAUUCAUAUCUUGUGAUUCAUGAGUUUCCGAAUUUUGGAAAAAUUGUAUUAGUUUAUGAGAGUUGGUACUGUGUAUGCCGAGUUGCACUUUCAAAUGCUGUUUUAUUACACUAUUUCUGUUUUAAAUUAUUUUAUUUUCUUCCGCAAAUUUAGUUUAUCUUCCGCAUUUUAGGCUUACCUAGUCGUAAAGACUAGGUGCCGUCACGAUGGUUCAAGAAGGGUGAAUCGGGGUCGUGACAAAUAGGCUGAGCUGCAGGAUGUUGUGACUUUGGUAGCUAAACGUGAGUCUCCUUUUAUGGAAAAAGUCAACAACCUAAAAGAAAACCUACGUUCCAAAACCAAGGAAGCUUCCGCAGUCGAGUCGAGGAGAAGAGGUCAAGAAUGGGGGAAAGGCUAAAAUGGGUCACGGAGCAAGUUUAAGUAACAUUCAAAUUAAGUAGGACCAAGUCAUGUUAUUUGGACAAUAAAUAAGAUAAAACUAAAAGAACUUUAAUUUAUUCUUUCCAUUUUCAAAAGCAUAUUUAUAUUUCACUUUUAUAGGGUACAAACAUGAAAACAUUCUCUUUACAUGAAGUUUUUAUGACCUGCUAGUAGGUACAUAAUUUUGUUAACUCUACUUCGUUUGUUGUGUGAUCAAGCAAAAAUAAUAAAUUUGGAUAAUUCAAUAUAGUCUCUUUACUUUCUAUUAUGAUUAUCAUUCUUGUUUGAAAUAGACAAAAAUUCUAAACAAUCUUAAACGUCUUGGGAUGGAAGUAUCUAUUUUUAUUUUAGUUAACAUAUUAAAAUAAUUCUAAAUAGUAAAAGAAGAAGUAUUACCAAAUGUGUAACCUAGUAAUUCAAGUUAUUAGAAAACUUUAAAAUAAAUUUACAUUGAGUGCAAUAUUAAAUUUGCAAAGAAAAGAAUAAUAAUUCUCAUUAAAACUUCGUUCCAAAGAAACACCAAACUAGAAGUUUAUUCUAAACAAACAUCAAACUUUGUAAACAAAUAAUUAAAUUAAGCAAAGUCCUUUACAAUAAAAAACCUUGCCUAUGCAAUUGUUUAGUAAUUGUGACGACUAGAUAGGCCGUUUUGAGUACUAGCUCUUUUUUCUUUAUUUUGAGACCUGGUGUAGCUUUAUUUGAUGAUUUAUGACCUGCGUGCGUAGCCUGUGUCGAUUUCUGUAAAGUUUAUGUGUAAAAGUUCAAAGAAAAUAUAAUUUUUGACUUAAAAUGAGGCUGGAGUUGAUCAUGAUCAACGUUUUUGAUAAACAAUCUCAAAUCAGUAUUUUGACAAUUCUGGUUCGUUCGUAUAAUGUUUUUGGACUUUUACGCAUGUUUGGUUGGGUAUCGAGUGACACGAGGGUGUUUCAGCGUAUUAUGUGAAAGAUUGAAUUUUUUCUAAACUUAAAAUUCUUGAAUUUUAAUGAUCGAUUGGUAAUUUUUGAUGUUAUUUUCAUGAUUUGAGGUGACGAGCAAUUUCAUAUGAUGUUAUUAUACUUGUGUGAAUGUUCGGAUUGGAGCCCGGAGGCUUGAGUGAGUUUCAGAUUGAUUUUAAAUCAUUUUUAGCCUUGUAGAGUUAGAUGGUUUUUAGUGUAUCUCAGUGACUCGUGAUCGCGAAGGAAAAAUUUGGGACAAGGGUAGGUUACUCUGCGAAUGCAAGGGGUAGCUCGCGAACGUGAAGUUUAGGGGGGCUGGCCUUCGCAAAUGCGACAACCCUCACACGAGCGCGCAGGCUUGGGGUCUUGGGUGAAGGUAGAUGGGGUCUUCAUCCCAAACACGACCUUGUUAACGUGAAUGCGGAGGCUUGGCUGGGGUGAUGCCUUCACGAAUGCAGUGAAGACCCCGCAAACGCGAAGCCUUGUUGGUCUGUGUACAUUGCGAACGCGGUAGGUGCUCCGCGAACGUGAAGAGUAUACUAGAAAUUGAAAAUCAGGAUUUGACCAUUUAUUACAAUUUUUUAGACAUAGAUCACGGAUUGGAGAGAUUUUUGAAGAUAUUUUCAUCCGAACUUUAUUGGUUAGUGCUUUUUAUCUAGUUUUGAUUUAUUUCCAUAAACACCCAUCAAUUUUUAUCCUUAAAUUUAGUAGUUUAAAGGUAGAAAUUAGGGAUUUUGGGUAGAAUGUAGGAAUUUUAUAAAAUUGAGAUUUAGAUCUUAAAUUGAGGUCAGAUUUUGAAACAAAUCACAUAUCAGAGCUGGGGCUGAAUAGGUAAUCGAAAUUUGGUAUGAAUCUUAGAUUUCGACCACGUGGGCCUGGGUUGACGUUUUGUUGACCUUUUCGAUUUAUUUAAAGAUUGAGCCUUUUUCAUUUGUGGUUAGUUUCUAAAGCUUGUUUUGAAUUGUUGGAACGAUAUUUGGCUAGAUUCGACUGGUUUUGGGAUUUGUUCUAUAGGAAAAAUCGUGAUUGAUUGUUGACUUAUUUUCAAAAAGCGGUAAGUAUUGUGAUUAACAUUGAUUUGAGGGAAUUAGAAUUUGAUUGGUCUAUUUGCUAUGUGAUUUAUGUGUGGGGGCAUCACAUAUGAUAGGUAACAUGUGUAUAUGCAUUAUCAUGGGUUCAAGCAUGCGGGGUGGGCUAUUAUCAACCUACCAUCUAUAUCUUAUUACAUGCUUUAUUUGAUAGAGGUGUUUACUUGAUAUUUAAGCCUUUACUUGUUACCUGUCAUUAAUUUUAAUUGUUAAAACCUUCCUUUAAUAUUAUCUUCUUUUACCUGCUAGAUGCUCUCACCUGUGGUAAAUGAGCGUCUUUACUGUUUCAUGCCUUGCCAUUAUUGUCUUUACUUGCCUUUAUGGCCUAUACUUAGUACUUGUUUCACUUUAUUAGGUUAUAUUUGAUUGUGCGAGACCUUGGCUGCUCUUGCGUUAAUGACUUGUCGAGGUUCGUGUUGUCUUAUGAUGUGAGGAUACUUUAUGAAUUUGAGUUGUUGGUUGUUCUCUGUUUGUACUCGUAUUUCCUUGGUGAUUUAUACGCUUUGGUUCCCUUUAUUGUUGUGAUUUUGGAAUUCAUUGUAUUGAGUUGAUAAAGAGAAUAGAAAAUCAAAGAUAAAGAGAAUAGAAAAUCCAUAAUGCUAAAUUAAAAGAUGAAAAUCUAAAGUUAUAAGGUAAAUCUUGUAAAGAAUUGCCCAAAUAGGAAAUACUAGUUGUCUCACGUACUCAGCAAAAUAUAACAUGACCUAAAAAUGUGAAAAAAAUCUAUUUAUACUAGGCAAAAUUUUUUGAACAAAAAUGCCCCUGCGGAGGUUUCGCAGCCCCGUAAUUUUGACCACGGCCGCACUCUUGCUUUUGCGGCUGUGUAAUAUUGAGCGCGGCCCGUGUUUCUUUAUAUCUAAGACCGGACUUGAACUUAUUUCAUGGACUGUGUAAUUGUAACCGCGUCUACAUAAAAGCCUUCAGCGGAGGCGUAAUUUUGAUGCGGCCCGCGCUUAACAUUUUUACCUUUCUAGUGAUCUUUCCGAACCUAAGCAAAUGCAAUCAGCAAAAUUCCAAUCGCAGUCGUUGUAGUAUUUUCACGGCUGCUAAUUUCUGGCCUGGUCCGCAUCUAUGUAUGUGCCCAAAAACCACGUCUCCAAUUCUCCCUCUCGAGGUUUGUGAAUUCAUGACCGCGUCCGCGGUGACACUUUCGCGAUCGUACUUUUCUGUCGCAGUCCACGUUCUACAAUCUUGGUCCAGUCUUUGUCUUUGUUCCUGUUUUGACUCCUUUAUGAGUUGAUCAUGGCCAUUUUGGCUCAUUGUGAACAAUCCCUGCAAGCAAACAUAUUAUGUUAGUUUUUGGGGAUACUUUUACGCAUUUUAAGCCCAAAACGCAAGUAAAAAGAGAGAAAAUAAUGGUUAAAAUCCUUACUUAUCACAUGGUCAAGGUAGAGAGGCGAUAUAUGAGAAGAGGCAUCAUUAUUUCGGUGGUUUUAGUGGUGCCUCAUCUUGAGACUGGGGUUCAUUUGGUAGAGGCUAUCCUAUCAGGAUGGUUCAGUUAGCACUUCUGGUGUCUCAUGGUCUUUCAGGUGGUCAUGGUGCGUAUGGGUCUUAUUCCGAGAAGCCAUUACUCAGUGUGCCUUCAGCUUCUAUUAGUGCACAACUACUCUAGAGUUACUAAGGUAGUUGUUCGGGUCAUCAAGGUCAGUCUCAAACUCAAUAGUUACGCUAGCCGAGGGGUUGCUUUGAGUGCGGAGAUGCAUACCAUAUUUGGAGGUAUUAUCCUAGAUUGAGUAGUAGUCCACAAUAGGGUACUCAUGCCAUGAUUCCGACACCGGUAGCUUUAUCACCUCCUCAUCCAGCUUGAGCCGGGGGUUAGGUAGCCAGAGGUGGUGGUUAGAUAGUUAGAGUUAGAGGUAGAGGCCAGUCAGUGAGAGGUCGGUCGAGGGGGGGAGCUCAGGUUGUUGGGGCUCAGCCGAGUUACUAUGCAUUUCCAGCUAUACUUGAGGGGUAGUCUUCUAAUACAAUUAUCACAUAUACUAUCUCGAUCUAUCAUAGAGAUGCUUCUGUAUUGUUUGAUACAGGUCAUACAUAUUCCAAUGUGUAUUCAGACUUUACUUCAUAUUUGAGUAUGCCACGUGAUUCCUUCAAUGUUCCUGUUUCUGUGUCUACACCGGUCGGAUGUUCUAUAGUAAUUAAUGGGUGUAUAGGUCUUGUAUUUUUACAUUUAAUGGGUACGGUAUUUUAGUUGAUUUUCUGUUGUUGGAUACAGUAGAUUUUGAGUUUAUUCUUAGUAUGGAUUGAUUGUCCCCUUAUCACGCAAUCUUUGAUUGUCAUGCCAAGACUGUGACGUUAGCUAUGUUAGGGUUGCCUAGAUUGGAGUGUAGAAGGACUAUUGGUCAUUCUACCAGGAUGAUGGUUUCAUAUGUGAAGGCUCGACGUAUGGGUGUUUGGCGUAUUUGGUACUGGUUGUAAGUGAGUUCCCUGAGGUGUUUCGUACAGAUUUGUCGGGCAUGCCACCCUAUAGGGAUAUUGACUUUCACAUUGAUUUGGUUUUGGGCACUCUGCCUAUUUCUAUUCCACCAUACCAUAUGGAUCCAGCUGAAUUAAAAGAAUUAAACGAUCAAUUACAAGAUUUGCUUGACAAAGGAUUCAUUAUACCUAAUGUCUCUCCUUGGGGUGCGCCAGUGUUGUUUGUGAAGAAAAAGGACGUAUCAAUGAGGAUGUACAUAGAUUAUCGGCAGUUAAACAAGGUUACUACCAAGAACAAGGAUACAUUACCAAGGAUUGAUGACUUAUUUGACCAGCUUCAUGGUUCCAAGGUAUUUUUCAAGACUGAUUUGAGAUCUGGCUACCAUCAGGUGAAUAUUAUGGCACUAAAUGUCUCUAAGACAGCUUUUUAGACUCGAUAUAAUCACUACAAGUUCUUGGUGAUGUCAGUUGUCUUGACUAAUGCUACAACAAACUUUAUGGAUUUUAUAAACUGUCAACCCUUAUUUGAAUUCCUUCGUGAUCAUCUUCAUUGAUGAUAUUUUGGUUUACUCUCGUAGUCGAGAGGAGCAUGAGCAACACAUGCGAAUCGUACUUUAGACUUUAAGGGAUUGUUAGUUAUAUGCUAAGUUUUCAAAAGUGUGAGUUCUGGUUAGACUCGGUUGGGUUUUUGGGUUAUGCAAUGUCUUCCGAGGGUAUCAAGAUGAAUCCUAAGAAGAUUUAAGCAGUUCAAAACUUACCUAGACCUACUUCAGCUACAGAGAUUUGGAGCUUCUUAGGUUUGGCAGGUUAUUAUACCAGUUCGUGUUCAUCUAUGUCAGCCCCAUUGGCCAAGUUGACCUAGAAGGGUGCUCAAGAUUGCAUUGACUAGUGCAAGGUGAGCUUUUAGAAGAUCAAGACUGCGGUGAGCUUUUAGAAGAUCAAGACUGCAUUGACUACAACCCUAGUGUUGGUGCUGUCUACAGGUUUGAGAUCAUAUACCGUGUAUUGUGAUACAUCGCGUAUUACGCUUGGCGUGGUAUUAAUGCAUGAUAGUAGGGUGAUUACCUCGUGUCUUGUUAGUUUAAGGUGUCGCGCUUCUUUUUCUCUCAAAAGCAGAUUUCGCCAUGACAACUCUUUUAAAUGGGUGUUAAAAAAGAAGAGUCACCACCUAACGAUUUUAAAGCACAUUAGGGCACCUAUUUGCAAAUAACUCUGUUUAAUUAGUCCACGUCACCAAAGAUCGGGUAAGGGUCCAAAUUACCUCAAAGAGAAGGUGUUAGGAACUCUUCAAGGCGCACAACUAUGGGGUUCCGGCCAAAGUUUACGCAAUGUGAGAUUAGCGUAUUAUAAUUGUCCUAUGUGAUCAUAUAUGUAAGGGAAGACAAGGAAUUUAAAGGUUAUACUAAGUGUAAAGAAAUUCGUACAAGACUUAAACUAUAUAGAUAAUUGGUAUAAGUUUUUGUAGGCUACAUGAUACAACUUAAUUACUCCAAGUUCAAGAGACGAAGUGCAAAAAAAUAAACAUAUAUAGGGAGGGGGGAGGGGAGGUCCUAAGUUUUUUAGCCUAAAAGAUCACCCCGUGCAACAUAAAUAAUACUUCGCAACUCCCUUAGGGUAGGGGUUGCUCAUAUUAUUUAGCUGGCAUAGACUAUCAUCUCCUGCUAUCGAUUACUAUAUUAAAGUUGUUUACUUAAAACCCUCUAAUUCAAUUCUAGACCAUCUUCUAUGCGUGCGCUACCCGCCCCAUGCCUAUAGUCUAAGAGGAUUUGGACCUACUAUUUGGGUGGUUCUAGACUCUUCUUAGGAUGCUCAAAAUCUAGGCGCACAUUCUAAACAUAUAGGACUUCACUUAAUGACAAUAAAUGGCUCGAGUUAUCCUCUACAAAUAAGCAACAAAUACAUGCAGACAGAUUAGGCAGUAGACAGUUUUAGAGUUAAAACGCAUGAGAGUCGUUAAGUCCUAUAGACAUAGUUUCUAUGUGAUUCUAAUUUCCCGUAUCGUACGAGUACUAUUGUAGCUUUAUACUAUUGAAUUUGCAAAUUAAACGUGUUAAAAUCCCUAUAGGCAUGAUCUCUUAAUUGUUUGCGCAAUGAGACAAUAUAAAUGUUUGAAAGCUCAGAAUUAACAGUGUUGAUGUUAUAGAUAGGUUUUCUAGGCGAGUGACAAUAUCCUAUAUGUAGGAUUUCUAGCAGUUGACAAUUGAACUUGAUUUUAUAAUAUUUUAUCCCUAUAGGCAUGUCAUCUAGGUUGGGUAGUAUAAUGAAAGCAACAAAAGAAGUAGGUUUAUUUAAUAAAAUUAUAUAGUCAUGAUAUCUAGGACAGAAAGGCAUAAAACCAAAAACUUGGGUUACUACCACACUUUUAUCUUAUGGUAGAUCUUUUUCUUUCGCUGACCACCUUCAUCUCAUUCUUCCCCGCCACAGAAUUCCUCCAUUAUAGUCUAUGAACACCUACUAAAAUCCACCGUCAAAAUCCAUCCAGCACCGUCAAAUUUAUCUCUUGCUUCAUUUUCCAUUAUUAUAACAAGAAAGAGUACACAAUUAUUUUUGGUAGCUUUACUUCCGUUAUUUGGAGAGUUUCUCGAAGGAUUCCCAUAAAGCAAUCCAUCACAACCAGAUUUUCACUAACUUAAGGGCUGCAAUCCAGAUUCUAUUGUUCCUCUCUUGUCUUGAUAUUUUAAUAGUUUGAUAUUUUUGCGAUAUUUUAUCUCGUUACCUGGCUAUUUUGUUCUUGAAUCUUUAGGUAGUCUUUUCCCUAUUAUUAUCAAAUUAAGUGCAUUUAGUGAUAGCUUUGCCUACUUAUUUAUAAUGUUAUCUACCUAUUUUACAUCUUUAUUUUGAAUCAUUAUUUCAAAUAUCCCCUAGUAGUUCUGUUCUAAUUUUGCACAUUUUCUUUGUGAUCUUUAGUUGUAGAUUAUAGCCCCCUUUAGCUCUUGUAUUGUAUUUUUUCACCUAUUUUUCUAUCCUUUACUUGUAGAUUAUAGUUCCUUUGUUUUAUUUCCUCACCUAUUUUUAUGACCUUUAGCUGUAGAUUAAUGUUCCCGUUAACUCCUUUAUUUUUAUUUCUUCACCUGUUUUGCGACCUUUAGUGGUAGAUUAUACUUCGACAAUUCAUUUUAUUUUUGUUGCUUUUUUUUCUUCUGGGAUAGUCCUUGUAUAGUGACUCCUAGAUUAUAGUGGCUUUGGCGAAUGAUGGUAGGGUAAGGUCUUGUCCUCGGGGUAUCACCGCAGGGGAGGAGGUGCAGGGGGGUAAGGGGGUAAGAGGGCUAAGGUAGCUACAAGGCUAAGAGUGGGGUCUUGGAACAUAAGAACUUUGACUGGAAAAUGGAUAGAGUUAGCAAAGUUCUCGAGUAAAGGAAGAUUAUGUACAGGAGACUAGGUGGGUAGGAGAUAAGACGCAAGAUUUGUGUAGUUUCAAACUUUGGUAUUCUGGGAGGAUGGGUGUAGGAACAGGGUAGGUAUCUUGGUUGAUAAGGACCUCUGUGAACUAGUAGUGCAGGUUAGGAGGGUGAAUGACAUGCUAAUGACUAUUAAACUAGUUGUUGGAGGUUUUACUUUGAAUAGAGGAGGAAUGUCUCUGCUGAACUUUGCUAGAGCAUUUGAUUUGGUGAUAGCAAACUCGACUUUCCUGAAGAAGAGGGUGCACUUGGUCACCUUCCGGAGUUCGGUGUCCAAGACUCAGAUUGAUUAUUAUUCUGCAGGAAGUUUGAUAGAGGUCUUUGUAGGGAUUGCAAGGUCAUCCCGAGUAAGAACCUCUCGACCCUUCAUAGGCUACUAGUCAUGGACCUUGAGAUCACAAGGAAAUGGAGAGAGGGGGAGAUGUAUAGCCAACAUAGGAUAAAAUAGGGAUCCUUGAUGGAAGCUAAAGCGCAGGAGUAUGGGGUCAAGUUGGUGACUAUGGGGGCUUGGAGGAGUAGUGGGGAUGCAAGCGCUAUGUGGACCACGACUGCACAGUUUGUUAGGGAAGCUGCGAGAGAGGUAUUAGGGGUCUCAAAGAGUUACUCUGGUGGUUGCAAGGGAGACUGGUGGUGAAAUGGAGAGGUGUAAGAAAAAGUGCAAACCAAGAAAGAAACAUAUUUGAAUCUAGUGGAAAUUGUAGACAAGGAGUAGAAGAGGGCGAAUAUGGAGCAUUGUAAGUUUGCUAAGGAAGAGGCAAAGCUAGCAGUUAGGGUGGCCAAGACUGCAGCUUUUAGUCAUUUGUAUGAGGAACUCAAGGGCCGAGUAGAGAUAAGAGGUUGUUCAGGUUAGCCAAGGCAUGNNNNNNNNNNNNNNNNNNNNNNNNNUCGGAGAUGACAGACCUACUUUCAUAGUCUCUUGAACGAGGAGGGGGAUAGGAAUAUUGUACUGAGUGAUUUUGAACUCUUCAAGAAUCGUUGUGACUUUGGGUAUUGUAGGCGGAUUAUAGAUGAUGAAGUAGAGGAGGCUAUGCGUAAGAUGAGUAGAAGAAAAGAGACCGGGCCGGAUGAAAUCCUGGUAGAGUUUUGGUGGAGUGGGGGCAAGGCAGACAUAAAGUGGCUCACUAGGCUAUUUAAUGUCAUUUUUAGAACGAAGAAGAUGUCCGAAGAGUGUAGGUGGAGCACGAUAGUUCUUAUAUACAAGAACAAGGGUGAUAUCCAAAAUUGCAAUAACUAUGGAGGUAUCAAGCUACUUAGCCAUAUUAUGAAUGUUUGGGAGAGAGAGGUAGAGUUAAGGAUGAGAAGGUGUGUAUAUUUCCGAGAACCAGUUUGGGUUUAUGUUGGGGUGUUCGACUACAUAAGCUAUACACCUUGUUAGGAUAUUGAUGGAGCAGUACAGGGAAAGAAAUAAGGACUUGCAUAUGGUGUUAAUCGACUUAGAACAGGUGCACGAUAAAGUUCCGAGGGAGGUUUUAUGGAGAUGUUUGGAGGCUAGAGGUGCACCUGUUGCCUGCAUUAGGUUGAUUAAGGACAUUUAUGAUGGGGUAAAGAUACAAGUGAGGAUGGUGGGUGGGGACUAAGACCAUUUUCCAGAUAUGAUGGGGUUGCAUCAGGAGUUAGCACUCAACCCUUUUUUGUUUUCUCUAGUGAUGGACGUACUGACGCGCCACAUCCAAGGAGAGGUUCUGUGGUACGUGUUAUUUGCAGAUGAUAUUAUAUUGAUUGACGAGACGUGAGAUGGUGUGAAUGUGCAAUUAGAGGUAUAUAGGUAGUCCUUGAAAUCUAAAGGUUUUAAGUUUAGUAGGACCAAGACAGAAUACUUGGAGUGUAUGUUCAGUGGCGAGAAUCAAGGAGGGGAAAGGGAAGUGAGUCUGGACUCGCAGGUCAUCCCUGGGAGAGGGAGUUUUAAGUACCUUGGGUCUAUUAUUCAGAGGGAUGAGGAGAUUGAUAAAUAUGUCACACAUUAUGUUGGGGCAGGAUGGAUGAAAUGGAGACUCAGUUCUGGUGUUUUAUGUUGCAAGAAGGUGCCACCAAAACUUAAGGGUAAAUUCUACAGAGUGGUGGUCAGACCAACGAUGUUGUAUGGGGUUGAGUGUUGGCCAGUAGAUCGCUCAUGCCCAGAAAAUGAAGGUAACUGAGAUGAGGAUGUUGAGAUGGAUGUGCGGGCAUACCAGGUUAGAUAGGAUAAAAAUGAGGUUAUUCAUGACAAGGUGGGUGUGGCCCCUUAUUGAGGAAAAUAUGGGGGAAGUGCGGAUUAGGUGAUUUGGUUAUAUGAGGAGGAGGAGCACAGAUGCCCCAGUGAGGAGGCGUGAGGGGUUGACAUUGGAGGGCCUACAGAGAGGUAGAUGUAGGCCAAAAAAGAGAUGGGGAGAGGUGAUUAGGCAAGACUUGGUGUAGCUUCAGCUGACUGAGGACAUGACCCUUGAUAGAAAGGUAUGGAGGUCAAGGAUUAGGGUAGUAUAGUAGGUAUUCUAGAGUGUUCAUUACAGUAGUAUUGGCACGCAGUCUCGCUUUCUAUUGGUAGUAGGUUUUUAUGACUAACCGUUGUUUUCUUUCAUUGUUAAUCAUCUAAUAAUAUUGUUGUUUCUAUUCUGCUUUUAUAUGGCUUUUUGGUAUUGUCCCUUCUUGUUUAUAUUUUCAUUAAUGUGGAGCUUAUGCUUUCCUGAGCCGAGGGUCUAUUGAAAAUAACUUCUCUAUCCUUACAAGGUAGGGUUAAGGUCUGCCUACACACUACUCUCCUCCGAUCCCACAGUGUGGGAUAAUACAAGGUAUGUUGUUAUUAUUGUUGUUGUUGUCAUGAUAUCCAUAUGAGCACUAGGGAAGGCAUGUACUAUUUCAUCUUAUAGUCAUGUUGUCUAAUAAUUAAGCAAGGCGUUUGAUCCCUAUAGAUAUGUUGUCUAAGAGCGCAUAGUAGUAGACAUGAAAAAAGGUAUAGCAAUUACUUAAACUAAUAUGCUUUGAAUAAUGUACAAGUAUUAGAAAAGUUAAGUGAAACAUGUGAUUCCUAUAGGCAUGAUUUCUAUUAGUGUGUAGAGUCAAAGCACGUCAAAAAAGAUCACACAAGGCAAUUAAAUACUAUGGACAUGUUUUCUACUCGUUCAUGCAAAAAUUAGAAUACCCCAACCCUCUUUUCACUAAUUUCCCCAUCAAUCAAUUUUACAAGCUAUUACAGAUCAUUCUAAAUAAAUUAUAGGCCCAAAUACAAAUAUAGAAUAUCCCAGUAAUAUUCUGGUACUUCAAAUAACUUAGGACUUCAUGUGGACAACAUGCCAAAACUCUAGGUGCAGAUAGUAUUCCUCGAGCCCCUGAUACCAAAGGAAGACCCAACAUACAAGGCCCAAACUAUUCCAGUAAUUAAGCUAAUGGAUCAAAAAUUUAGUCAUAUAGGUAACAGAACUACUCAUGGAAUAACUUAAACACUUAGUUUUUUACAAAUGUAAAAGCUGCAAUUUUAGCCAAUAGACAUGGCUAUGCUAAGUUGAAUGGUAUCAAAGACACAUACGGGCAAGUAAUUCCAGAAAAACAGGAUUAACUGUGACAAGAUCGGAUAUCAUAAACUAACAAACCACUGCAAAUAGUGUUUCAAAAUAGAACCAACUCAAAGAGCUUCUUAUGACAACCUAGUAGAAUCAUAGGCAAGAAGAAGUUGGAGUACAAUCUUAAUAUGAGAAUUUCAACAUGAAUGCCUUGCAUAAUAAUCAUACUAGUAGCAUUUUUGGCAAAAAUACUUAGUUUGUAAUAUUAUAUCUAACAGUAGUUUAAACCAAAGAAUAUAGAUAGGAUCACACGAAAUAUUGCCAAGUUCCCAAGGCAGCUUGAUGCUUAUAUUUUUCAGAAACAACGUUAGGAUUACAUGAUUGACCAUCAUACGCUAGUGAAUUAUUCCAACAAGAGUUUCAAGAGGCAAAGCAUAGUCCAAAAUUAGCCUACAGGACGUCAGCCAAUUAAGAUGAGAAUCUAGCAAAGUCACAGAGAGGAACAUGUGGAUGUCAGUUUUCACAUAAUGGUUUUUAACAUGAGAGACUUAUAAGGAUGUGGUCACAAACAUCUUAACAAUAGGCUAGUGGGCAUAGUUUGCAACAGUUGACAAAUAUGUCA